rnacentral:lncRNA from 1 species
UUAAAACACAAACAACUAGUUCAUUGAAAUGAUAACUUGUUUAGUACACAAACAAGAUCUUACUUAAUACAUAGAAAUAAGAUCUUACGGAACAUAGAGAUUAAAAACAUAGGAACAACAUGAAAAGUUUUUAAAAUGACAUAGAUAUUGAUUAACAAAGAUAUGAACUAGUUUCGGGUAUUUUUUAACCAUCCAUCAAGGUAAACUUGUUUGGAGUCAGGGGUGGAUUUUGGUCUAAUAUCUUUCAACCAUCCAUCAAGGUAAACUUGGUUGGAAUCAGAGGAGGAUUUUGCUUUUUCAGCUCGAGUGUCUUUCAACCAACCAUCAAGAUAAACUUGUUUGGGAUCAGAGGUGGAUUUUGUUUUCUCUGCUCGAGUAUCUUUCAACCACCCAUCAAGGUAUACUUGGUUGGAGUCAGGGGUAGAUUUUGUUCUCUCGUUUCGAAUAUCUUUCAACCAUCCAUCAAGGUAAACUUGGUUGGAAUCAGAGGAGGAUUUUUCUUUUUCAGCUCGAGUGUCUUUCAACCAACCAUCAAGAUAAACUUGUUUGGGAUCAGAGGUGGAUUUUGUUUUCUCUACUCGGGUAUCUUUCAACCACCCAUCAAGGUAUACUUGGUUGGAGUUAGGGGUAGAUUUUGUUCUCUCGUUUCGAAUAUCUUUCAACCAUCCAUCAAGGUAAACUUGGUUGGAGUCAGAGGAGGAUUUUUCUUUUUCAGCUCGAGUGUCUUUCAACCAACCAUCAAGAUAAACUUGUUUGGGAUCAGAGGUGGAUUUUGUUUUCUCUACUCGGGUAUCUUUCAACCACCCAUCAAGGUAUACUUGGUUGGAGUCAGGGGUAGAUUUUGUUCUCUCGUUUCGAAUAUCUUUCAACCAUCCAUCAAGGUAAACUUGGUUGGAGUCAGAGGAGGAUUUUUCUUUUUCAGCUCGAGUGUCUUUCAACCAACCAUCAAGAUAAACUUGUUUGGGAUCAGAGGUGGAUUUUGUUUUCUCUACUCGGGUAUCUUUCAACCACCCAUCAAGGUAUACUUGGUUGGAGUCAGGGGUAGAUUUUGUUCUCUCGUUUCGAAUAUCUUUCAACCAUCCAUCAAGGUAAACUUGGUUGGAGUCAGACAUGGUUUUUGUUUGCUUUGCUCGAGUAUUUUUCAACCAUCCAUCAAGGUAAACUUGGUUGGAGUCAGAUGUAGAUUUUUCUUUCUCAGCUCGGGGAUCUUUUAACCAUCCAUCAAGAUAAACUUGUUUGGAGUCAGAGGUGGAUUUUGUUUUCUCUGCUCGGGUAUCUUUCAACCAUCCAUCAAGGUAAACUUGAUUGGAGUUAGGCAUGGACUUUUCUUUCUCGACUCUGAUAUUUUUCAACCAUCCAUCAAGAUAAACUUGGUUUGAGUCACUUGCAGGUUUUGUUUUCUCAACUCGGGUAUUUUUCAACCAUCCAUCAAGGUAAACUUGGUUGGAUUCAGAGGUGGAUUUUGCGUUCUCUGCUCUGGUAUCUUUCAACCAUCCAUCAAGGUAAACUUGGUUGGAGUUAGGUGUUGACUUUUCUUUCUCAGCUCUGAUAUCUUUCAACCAUCCAUCAAGAUAAACUUGGUUGGUGUCACCGGUAGAUUUUGCUUUCUCAGCUCGAUUAUCUUUCAACCAUCCAUCAAGGUAAACUUGGUUGGAUUCAGAGGUGUCUUUUGCUUUCUUUGCUCUGGAAUCUUUUAACCAUCCAUCAAGAUAAACUUGAUCAGAGUUCUGGGAGGAUUUGGUUUUCUCUGCUCGUGUAUCUUUCAACCAUCCAUCAAGAUAAACUUGGUUAGAGUUAGCAAUGUGUUUUUGACUCUUCAAUGGAUUUUUGAGCCAACCAUCAAGGUAAGGUUGAUCAACUUGUAUUUCUUGUACAUUCUCUUGCUGAAGUUUGAUAUAUCGGGCAAAGCUUCCUUGUCCAUUCUAUAAUACAAUUGAAUAAAUGGAUAUUAGUGAGUUAUUUUUGGAUGGUAUAUAUGAUUACAAAAACAAAAUAAUGUGUUUUAUAAGACACAUUAUGUUGCACAGGUGAGACACAUUCAUUAUAUAUUUCAGAUGGAUACAAAAUGUGAAAUAAAAAUGAAAGAAAAACAAUUUUUAAAAUUUCAUUGCGGCAUAGAAAACAUUAUUUUAUCAAAUCAAAUAGAACAACUUGAUUGUAAGUGAAUGAUGAAAUCAAAUCAAAUAAAGAUGAGAAAUGAUAGAUUGUGAUAAAUAAAUGAUGAAAAAUAUAAGUGUAAAAGAUACAAGAAUGGAUGCAAAGUUAGUAACUUACGAUCAACAAGAGCAUGAUAAAAGGGAGGAGAAACAAAACAUCUUUGUGUGUCAUUUCUUUAAUGUUAUGAUUUUGUGGGAAAAUUGUUUUAAUGUGAAAAGAUGUAUUGAAAUGGAAGUGAAUUGGGCUAUUUAUAAGUGAAUGAAAAGAAAAACUACAUUAAGGAUAUUAAGGACAUUGCGACUUUGGUUGGCAAGAUUAUUUUUUAAAUAUUUAAUUUAUUUUAUUUUUUAAAUGUUUAGUUUAAUUUAUAAGUUUAUAUGUCUAAGAAAGAUCAAUUUACUUUUUCCAAGAUCUAUUAGGUGUGUUGUUUUGAGUUAUAAAUAAAAAAUUCAAAAAAUUGUUUGUUUGGUAUCAUUUUUUUAAUUAGAAGCUCCUAACUAAAUUCUCCAGGUUUAAAAUAAAUAAAUUUUAGAAAAGCUACUGCAAUUAGUUUUUUAUUUUAAAAUUAAAAAUGAUUCUCUUAAAAACUUUAAUAAAAACCUAUUAAAAUGAUAAAGGUGAUUUUUUAAAUGUUAAACAAACAUUUAUUUUGAUAAGUUAUUUCAAAUAAUUUAAAAUUUCAUAAAUUUAUUUUAAUUUAUAAUUGAAGUGGUAAUUAUCAUAAUCUCGUCUCUUGAGUUCUAAUAUUUGAGCUAAUAGUAUAAAUAUUUUUUAGUUGAAUUAAAAUUUGCAUUAAUGAUAGUUUCAAUUUUACAAUUAAUUAAACUAAUUUAGUAGUUAAUUUUAUUAAGUGUAAUAAAUGCAAUGAAUUAAUUUAACUACAUCCCCUUUAAUUCGAGGUGGGUGUAGGUAUUCCGAGACAUUCAAAUUUGAAGACUAAUAUAUAGAUUAAAAUUAUUUAUUAAUUUAUUUAAUGGUAAUUACAUAUUACAAAAUUUCAUUUUUGGAAAAAAGUUAUUAUUUUAAUAUUUUAUAUUUUUUAAUAGUUAUUAUUUUAUAAAAUUAAUUAUAAUGAGUAUAAUAUUUUAAUUUUAUUAUCAUCAAAUAUACACGACAUCAAAAUUACCAAACAUGAAAUCUAAAUAUAGGGAUCCAAUUAAUUGAAUUGGAAUUUACAUUGUGAAUCAUGAGUCUUCUGCCACCAAUUCCUAGGGACUCACUACCUAGCAAACAAUGAAUACAAAAUAGUAUCACAAGAAACACUAAAAUACUGUGUUGACCCUUGCAUGUUUAAGAUGUUCACAUGUAGCUAGGGUUUGGGUGGUUAUGUAGUUAUGCUUACCUAAUAGUAAGACUGUGUUGACCUUUGCAUGUUUAAGAUGUUCACAUGUAGCUAGGGUUUGCGUGGUUAUGUAGUUAUGCUUAUCUAAUAGUAAGUUAAAAAAUUGUAGUUAUCUAAAAAGUAAUAAAUUAUUAUAUUGACCGGUCUAAAGAGAAGAUAGAUAAGUUANGUAGUUAAUUUUAUUAAGUGUAAUAAAUGCAAUGAAUUAAUUUAACUACAUCCCCUUUAAUUCGAGGUGGGUGUAGGUAUUCAGAGACAUUCAAAUUUGAAGACUAAUAUAUAGAUUAAAAUUAUUUAUGUUCGUCUUAUAUAUUUUUUUUUUAUAUUUUAAUAUAAAUAUUUAUUAAUUUAUUUAAUGGUAAUUAUAUAUUACAAAAUUUCAUUUUUGGAAAAAAGUUAUUAUUUUAAUAUUUUAUAUUUUUUAAUAAUUAUUAUUUUAUAAAAUUAAUUAUAAUGAGUAUAAUAUUUUAAUUUUAUUAUCAUCAAAUAUACACGACAUCAAAAUUACCAAACAUGAAAUCUAAAUAUAGGGAUCCAAUUAAUUGAAUUGGAAUUUACAUUGUGAAUCAUGAGUCUUCUGCCACCAAUUCCUAGGGACUCACUACCUAGCAAACAAUGAAUACAAAAUAGUAUCACAAGAAACACUAAAAUACUGUGUUGACCCUUGCAUGUUUAAGAUGUUCACAUGUAGCUAGGGUUUGGGUGGUUAUGUAGUUAUGCUUACCUAAUAGUAAGACUGUGUUGACCUUUGCAUGUUUAAGAUGUUCACAUGUAGCUAGGGUUUGCGUGGUUAUGUAGUUAUGCUUAUCUAAUAGUAAGUUAAAAAAUUGUAGUUAUCUAAAAAGUAAUAAAUUAUUAUAUUGACCGGUCUAAAGAGAAGAUAGAUAAGUUAUUAUAAUCAAAUAUUAUCUAAAAAACAAUAAAUUAUAAGGAAUAUAGUUUCAUUAUUUUUAUGUUUAUUUAAAAAAUAUAAAUAUUUUUUAAAUUAAUGAUAAAUAAUUGAUUUUAAAUGUGAUGAUGGUUUAUAUCUUUACAUAAGAAACUAAAUGAUAAAAUGUGAAUAUUCAUAUCUAACAUUAAAUAUUUAUCUAAAUAUGUAGGCCAGCCUCAUAUUUAUUGUAAAUUUUUUAACAAAGCUUUUAAUAAUGUAAAUUAGAAUAAUGUAGGCCAGCCUCUCUAUUUAUAUAAAAAAAAUAUUUUUUAAAAUAUUUUUAUAAUAAAAAUAUAAAAUUUGUCACAAAACAAUUUUAUUAUUUUAUUAACUAUAAAAAUAUAGGUUAUAAAUCACAUAUUUCAUUUAUAAUUCAUUAACCAGUAAAAUACGUAAUAUUAAUCAAAUUAUAAUAUUAAAAUAUGAAAUACACAAUUUGCUUAAUUAUUAAUUAUUAUAUUUUAUAUUUUAAUGUCAAAAUUUAUUGAUAUUAUUUAUUUUAUUAAUUGAAUACAGUAAUAAAUAAAAUAUAUGGUUAAUCACCUAUAUUUUUGUGAUUAAUAUAAUAAUAAAAUUAAUUAAUAACAAACUUUAUAUUUAUAUUAUAAAAAUAAUUAUAAAAAUAAAUCAAAAACGAGUUUAAGACAACAUAGGAAAAAGGGAGACUCGGAUAUCGUAUCUCAAAGACGGUUGAAUUAUUAUUAAUAUACUGGAAUCGAAUUGGGGGUUUAUAUUUGAUUCAUAAUAAAUGAUUAUGAAAAGUGAUUAUAAAAUAAGUUGAUUUAUUGAUUCGGUUCCUACCUACCAUUGAUUAUUAUAGCGCGAAUGAAAGUGUAAGAAUUAUGUUUCUUAUUUGCUGAAUUAAGCAAUCAGUUAAGAUUAAAGCGAAUUAACGGAUUAAGCAUACGUUAACACGCAAUCAAAAUUAGGGAACAAUAAAUAUUCAAAUCAAACAAAAUUACUAAGUUUGAAAUUGUACCUCAUUCAGGUCUUGGUUCAAGCAUCCCUAUGUGCAUCACAUUUAACUUUGCAUAGGCCAUGAACUCAAGUCUUUUGGUAUGGAAAAAUGCAUAGAUCCAUAUGCCCGAUUCACUUCAUUCAUAUGAUGCAGAUGAUCAAGGAUGAUUGAUCCAUUUAAGACUUAGUUCCAUUGGUUCAUUCUUUGUUGCUUAAGAAAUCUCAGGGUUUUACUAAGAAGAAAGAGGUCGAGACCAGUGUCGUGAUAGUAAAUAUCUACCCUCAAGUUCAAGCACCUAUGACUCAUGUGUCAUACUACCCUUAUCUGUACAUUGUCGCUGCUCAAUAUCAGCAACCUGCAUACCAACCGCAAUAUCAACAGCCUCCAUGGGCUCCAAUUUCUCAGAAUCAACAAAAUAGCAGAAACCAGAGUCUAGGUCAGGGCAGACGUUAUGAUAGAAAACGUCCUCAGCCUGACCAUAUCCCUGUAUCAUACACUCAGUUGUUGUCGUAUCUUGUCCAGUAAGGAGCAAUUGCGCCAAAAGAGAUUCCGCCUGCAACUCCUCCCUAAAAUCACAAGCAUAAUCCUAAUGUGUCUUGUGCAUUUCAUGUCGGAUACAUAGGGCAUUCUACAGAGGAUUGUUUGGUCCUCAAGACCAUAGUACAAGAGUUAAUUGAUCAUAAGGUUUUGUAAUUCUCUGAGGCAGGACCCAAUGUCAUAACCAACCUAUUGCCAGACCACUGUGGACAGAUAGUGAAUGCAGUUUAUGGCGAAGAUUCCUCAGAUUCAGUUGAUUCUUCAGAGAAGUACUGAUGCUAGCAAUAUCAUAUUGAUUCAAUCAUGUAUCAUUUGUAAUCUUUUCUUGUUUGUUAAUUGUUGUUCAUUUGUAAAACUUGUCUGGUUUUUCAGAUGAUAAUAAUAAUGAAAUAAGCGUGCAUGUUUUGCUUAAAUCCAUUCGUGUUCACUCAUAUUUUAUUUUAUCAGUAUCAAAUUGUUUGUCGAACAAAAUCAAAAGAGAAUGAUGAAAUUAAAAAUAUGCAAGAUCGCUGUUUGUAUGCUUUUGAAUAAGAUCAUGUUGAUGAUGCAAGGCAUUGUUCAAUCCCUAAACACCGGAGAUAUAAGGAAGAUAAUCCCUAGUCAACCCAUUUGGAUGUUGUAGUAGGAGUUUCUUUCUUUAACACAUAAAAUCCUCAUGCUUAACUAGGGGCAGGGUAUUCUUCAUUUAGUUUAGACUUGCAUUCAAAUUUCAGAAGGAGAAUAUCUCAUCCAGUGAUCAAUCAUAUCAUAUCCCUCUCAAGAGGAUGGAAUCACAAAUCCAGGAUGGUUAUCCCUUACCAUUCAAAAGGAGUGAGAUAGUCACGACCCAUGCAACAAAUCAAGAAAGUCGUGUCACACGGUUUUCUCUAGUACAAAAAGAAAAGAUGAAAAAAUUAAAAGUCCGCUAAGUCAAAAACUUGAAAACAAGAUUGACUUAUAUGUGUGUGUUUGGGGUGAGUCUGGAGAUGCACCUUCGAACUUCGAAAUGUGUGAGCUUUUUUGUAUUUUUCAUCUCAUGCCCUAGUAAUAUAUAUGGUGCAUUAAAAAAUAUCCAUAAAUUAAGGGAUUUGGUUAACACACUCUUAGGAUUGUUUUUCGACCCUUGUGAAAAAUCAAAACUACCUUUAGAAUUCAGAAAUAAAUCUUUGGACGCACCUCAAACACACACACAAUCAAUUCAUUUUUGAGUCAUGAAGUUAAUUAGGAAAUGCAUCUCCUUAAAUAUUAACGGGGGUGUAUUUUCCAAACCUAUUGAACCACACAGAAUUGCAUAAACCAAACAGAUGCAGAAAUAAAGAUAAAUCACAUUGAUAACAUGAAAAAUGAAAUAUUACAUAGAUAAUCGUUAACAUAAAUCGAACUUUGCAUUUGAACAUCAAGAUGGACGUUUCAACAUAUUUAUAAUAUCUUUUAUCGAUCUCGCAAUCAUCGCAUCCAACUUGAUCAAACAUUUUAUUUCGUAACGGUUAAAUGUAUUUCACAUAACUCUUAAAUCCGCAUCCGUCUUCAGCUUAAAGUUGUUGAACUGAAUCUACCAUUCAUUAUCAACCGAGAGUGAACCUUACUUGAGUUUCACAAUUCUUCAAUGAACUUAAAUGCAAUUGAGGACUCCGCGUAGUUGAGUCAUAUUUCAUGGAGACUCAUAAUGCGUCCAAAAAUGCAUUUCCAAAAUUUUAGUGGCAUUUUUAAAUUUUUAUAGGAUGGUUUUCCAGCACUUAUGUAGAGAUAAACAAUUUCCUUAUUAAAGGUCUCUGAGAGGAAUUGAAAUAAAUAUAUUUAAAAAAUUAGUAUUAUACUUAUUUAAGGAAUAAAGUUUUCUAACCAAAAAUUUUUCCCUAAUUUUUUUGUGCCUAAUUUUUUUGCUAACAAAAUAGAGACCUGAUUAUAUUUCACUAAUUUUCAUUCAUCUCUCAAUUAAUAUCUCUCAUAACCCUCAUUAACUCUCAAUUAAUGUAAUUCAUAUCAAUUAAUUGUUUUUUGAAAAUUUUGUAUCCGGCUUCGGACCAACUAGUUUAGUGAAUUGCUAAUUUCAUCUUUAAGUGUUGGAAAAAUACCUUAUAAAAAUUUGAAAAUACUCUUCUGAUUCCAAAAAUGCAUCUUCGGACGCAACUUGCACCUCACCAAAACACGCUUCAACUUGUUGAUGUUUUUUAUGUAAUUCAAGUGGUGUAACUGGUUACCUCAUGUGGUGUAAACGGUUACCACUAAAGUUGAUUUAAUUCAAUAUCAGAUGUAACCGAUUAUCCACUUUUGUGUAACGAUUACAAGCUUAAUAUUUUGAUUUUUUCUGAUAUUUUACUUGGUCAAUUCAGUUCCCAAUUGUGUUGUAUCUCUUGUAUAAGUGUUUAGAAUGUACACUCAUCUAAGGUUAAUGCAAUAAUAAUCUCUCAUCCUCAAUUCUCCUCUUUCACACUCCACAUCCAAAGUAUCUCCACCAUUAUUCACCAAACUUGUGGUGUCCUGUUCCAACAUUUGACAUCAAGAGUCUGGUUCAGAUCCACAAACACUUAGUGUGCAACAUGAAUUAUGUUUCCAAUGAAAAAAUCCCUCCAAACCUACCUAUCCUUGAUGCGAAGAAUUAUGAUAAAUGGUACAAGGAAAUGAAGAUGUUGUUUGGCUACCAAGAUGUUCUUACAGUAACUCUUAAGAGAAAAUAGUUGUCCCUGACCUACUUUGAGUCUCCGUAGGGAAAUUGGACUGGCAAAGAGGGUAGAAGGAGGAAACUACUCAAGUGAGCUUGAAGCAACAAAGGCAGUGAGUUUAGUUCCCACGCGGGGAAGAACGUUUAUAACAAGAGCCAGGAAGAUAAAUUAUUUUAUAAUACCUUCUCAAAAGUAAAAUGAGCUAUGAGAAAGAGCAAGAAUCUCAAGCGAUUGGCUGAACUUAACCUAGCUCGAGCUACAUGGCGGUUGAUCAAGGGAUACCGGAAAGAGGCAAACAACAGAACCUCCGGGUUUGAAGCUUUUCAUGUCGGGGCGAGGUCAAUCAAGGGUUUUGGGUCAGUGAAAGCUCGAGUGCCCCCUUCAAAAGUAAGGUGUCGGGAAUGCAACCAGUGAGGUGACCCGUUCCGUUAGGGCGGAUGAAAGAAGUUAUCCUGAAGCAGCGUCAAAGGCCUCUGUAGGCCCUUCAACAGGAUUUUUUGUCGUGUAGCAUUCUGUUUUGGCUACUCACGAAACUCUUUAUCCUUAAUAGGAAGAACUCCCUUUAGAGGAAGGAUACAAAGACCAAGCCUGUCUUUCUCUCUUAAAAAGGGCAUAUGGGGCAGGGCAGAAAGACUAUUUUAGGGGACUAAUCUGCUAAUGAAUGAAGGAAGGAGAAGGCCUUAAUUGUCUAUCCAAAGGUCCGCCUUGGGUGGAUUUAGGCGAAUCAAGUGGGUGGGAAUGAUCCGAGCCCCCUAUGUAAAUUUCAGUAAGGUAACUAAGGUUUACAAUAAUUCAUUUCAGUAGUGCGUUACCUUGCAGCUCUAUCUAUCGGGUAGUCAGUCUCUUGGUCAAAAGCCGGUACCUAAUUCCCCUGCUGGUGGGCCGAUCCUCGUCUAGCGGUGGGAACCGGCUGGUAUGGAUCAAUUGCUUGCCCUGUCUCUCUUCUGUUCAACCAUCGAGAAUCCGCAGUUAUCUUUGCUCAUUGGGUGGGCGAAGGAAUCCUUUCUAUUGAAUAAGGGCUUUGAGAAGCAGGCCAUUCCGUUCCAGUUAGCACCGUAUCCCGCUUUUCCGAUAGCAAAGGGCCUUCUAAUUAGCGUGCUUUGCUUAACCCGGCAAGAUCCGAGAUCAGACCUAGUCCUGCUGACCCGCUACCCUUGAAAACAUACUUUUUGCCACCUUACGACUGGUGUGAAGGAACUUAUUGCACAUAUUUAACAUGGGGAAGGAAAGAGGAGGGAAUAAAGCAUAUUUUAGGCAUCGANUUAAGAAAUGUCCAUGAAUUAAGGGAUUUGGUUAACGCACUCUUAGGGUUGUUUUUCGACCCUCGUGAAAAAUCAAAACUACCUUUAGAAUUCAGAAAUAAAUCUUUGGACGCACCUCAAACACACAUAAUCUGUUCAUUUUGUAGUCAUGAAUUUAAUUCGGAAAUGCAUCUCCUUAAAUAUUUAUGGAGGUGUAUUUUCAGAACCUACUUAACCACAAAGAAUUUCAUAAACCAAACAGAUGCAGAAACAAAGAUAAAUCACAUUGAUAACAUUGAAAAAUGAAAUAUUACAUAGAUAAUCGUUAACAUAAAUCGAACAUUAUAUUUGAACAUUAAGAUGGACGUUUCAACAUCUUUAUAAUAUCUUUUAUCGAUCUCGCAAUCAUCGCAUCCAACUUGAUCAAAUAUUUUGUUUCGUAACGGUUAAAUGUAUUUCAGAUAACUCUUAAAUCUGCAUUCGUCUUCAGCUUAAAAUUGUUGAAAUGAAUCUUCGAUUCAUUAUCAAUCGAGAGUGAACCGUACUUGAGUUUUGUAAGAACAAAAAUAGUUCUACAAUAGAUUCCAUGAUUUUGAUGAUAACAAAGGAUGAAACCAAAAAUGGCACCCUAACGAAAAGUUUCUAAGUGUGCAGGGUUCUAAAGAAAGAAGAAAUAAAUCUGAUGAUGUCAUCAGAUGCAAAACAAGAUCAGAUGUAAAAUCUCAAGUAUCAGAAGCAUCUAAAGAGGAAUCUCAUUCAAGAAGCUCUGACUCUGGACAAAACUACAAAGUAUCAGAAGCAUCUGAACAUGAAGUAAAGUCUAGAAGCUCUGACUCUGAACAAAUGCCUUCUGUAAAUUCUGAAGUUAUCAGCGCCAUCUGAACUUUCAAGAGAUAACAUCAGAAGCCAGUUUCUCCAGAUACACAAAGACUCUAAUCAGAAUUGUUAAUCAUGAUGAAGUAACGUUUAAGCCAAGUUAAAGUUCUGCAAAUGGAUUUCCUCAAUUAGAAAGAGACGUUAAUCUCCACUUCCAAGAGAGAAGAUACUAAUUGUGGUAAGUAGUCACUUCUAAGAGAAAAAGUCUACUGCAGAAGCUAUUAAUGGAAUGGCGUAACUACAUCUCAAUAUCCAACAGAUUCAACGCUACUUCAACUCUACUUCAACUCCUAUAAAUAGAGAAGAAAUCUCAUUCAGUAAGAAAGAAAUCACUAGCCAAAACUAUACUGAAAUUAUAUCACGCUCAAGAAAAACAUCUUUGUUCUUCAAAGAUUUUCACUAAGCUUUUGCUUAUCAAGUGAAAAAUUUGUUCUUAAGUUUGUAAUAUUUGCUUUCUUAGAAGCACUCUAGAUUACACAUCUUGUAUCUAAUUUUUAUUUGAUUUCCUCAAGUGACUCUUUGUAGUCUGUAGACUUGAGAGGACUAAGAGAUUUUCUUCUCUCUUAGGGGUUGUUUGUAAUCUUUCAAGAUUAGUGGAUUAAGUCCUUGUUGAAGGCGAAAUCACCUUGGCCGGGUGGACUGGAGUAGCUUUGUGUUAUAAGCGAACCAGUAUAAAAUCAUUGUGUGAUUUUCUUUUGCAAAAGCGCUUAUUUUUCAAACAAUUCAAACCCCCCCUUUCUUGUUUUUCUCACCUUCAAUUGGUAUCAGAGCUCCGGCUCUGUUAUUGAUUUUCAAAUCAAACACUUAACCGUGUAGAGAGAUCCAGUGCGAGAAAAACAAAUGGCCCACUCAAAUGAGAAAGAUUCUUACAAUGCCAAGCCUCCUGUUUUUGAUGGAGAAAAGUUUGAUUACUGGAAAGAUAGAAUCGAAAGUUUCUUUCUGGGUUAUGAUGCUGACCUCUGGGACAUUGUCACAGAUGGAUACAAACCUCCAACCUUAAAUGGAGCUGAAGUUCCCAGAAGCAAAAUGUCAGAAGAUCAGAAACGUGAGUUCAAAAAUCAUCACAAGGCCAGAACAAUACUUCUAAAUGCUAUAUCAUACAACGAAUACGAAAAGAUCACCAACAGAGAGACGGCUAAAGAUAUACUUGACUCUCUGAAGAUGACCCAUGAAGGAAACUCCCAAGUCAAGGAGACGAAGGCUCUGGCGUUGAUCCAGAAAUAUGAAGCCUUCAAGAUGGAAGAUGACGAAGCUAUAGAAGCUAUGUUUUCCAGAUUCCAAACUCUUAUUGCAGGUCUUAAAGUGCUAGACAAAGGAUACACGACUGCAGAUCAUGUUAAGAAGAUUGUCAGAAGUCUGCCAAAGAAAUGGAGACCUAUGGUUACUGCUCUGAAGUUAUCAAAGGAUCUGAACAGUAUCAGCCUUGAAGAACUUGUUAGUUCUCUCAGAAGCCAUGAGAUAGAACUAGAGGAGGAUGAGCCUCAGAAAAGGAACAAGUCAGUGGCGCUGAAGUCCAGACCUGAAAGACGGAAGUCAGACAGAACCAAAGCUCUCCAGGCAGAAACUGCAGAUACUGACGACUCUGAACCUGAAGACUCUGAUGAUGAAGAAGAACUGUCCUUACUAACCAGAAGAGUUAAGCAACUCUGGAAAAGAAGGAACAACAACAACUUCAGAAGAUCAAGACCCAGAGGGGAUAGAUCAGAGUCAACUUCAAAAGGUAAACCUAAUAAAGAUAUUACCUGUUUUGAAUGUAAAGAAACAGGUCAUUAUAGAAAUGAAUGCCCCAAGCUGAAGAAAGAUAACUCUAAGAAAGAAAGCUUCAAGAAAAAUGCCUUCAGAACAAAGAAGGGAUUAAUGGCCACCUGGGACGAUAGUGAAUCAGGAUCAUCAGAAUCUGACUCUGAUGAACAAGCCAACGUAGCAUUUAUGGCUACCACAUCCAGCAGCUCAGAUGAAGAAUCUGAAGAGGUAUUUUCUGAACUUUCUAGAUCUGACUUAGAAUCAUGUUUAUCAGAAACUCUUACCUCUCUUCAGAAAUUAAAACAAAAAGUUAAAAGCAUUAAAGGCCUUCUUAAAGCAAAAUCUGAAGAAUGUAGUGAACUUGAGACAACAAUUCUAGCACAUGAAGAUACAAUCAAAUCUUUAACGUUAGAAAGAGAUGGAGCUAAAACAAAAAGCUUAAAAUUAGAAGAAGCGUUGUCUCAAGCACCACAAACUUCAAAUGAAAUUAUUUAUAAAUAUGAAGAAGCCUUUCAGAAGUUUCUGAAGAGUGGAAUAGAUAGGAGUAUUAUGGCAUCCAUGAUUUAUGGAGUAAGUCAGAAUAAUAAAAGGGGAAUUGGGUAUGAUUCUGAUUCUGAUAAAACUUCUACCAGUAACCAAAUUAAAUCACCUUUUUCAUACCACUAUACACACACACAAGAACACAAAUUUAAAAAUGCUAGAAGACCCAAAGUUGUAAGAAACUCUGGGAAAACUAAUCUGAAAGGACCCAAGAGAUUCUGGGUACCGAAAGAUAAGAUUAUCUAUGUUGCAGAUAUCCUAUGCAGCAAAGUUCAGACACCAGUCAUGGUACCUGGACUCUGGAUGCUCGCGACAUAUGACGGGAAGAAAGUCUAUGUUCCAAAGCCUGGAACUUAAAGACGCUGGCUUUGUAGGCUUCGGAGGAGAUCAGAAAGGAAGGAUCAGAGGCUCCGGAACUAUUGGUAAUGGUACUCUUCCCUCUAUAUCUGAUGUUCUUUAUGUAGAAGGAUUAAUGCAUAACUUGUUAUCCAUAAGUCAAUUAAGUGAUAACGGUUAUGAUGUAAUCUUUAAUCAAAAAACGUGUAAAGCCAUUAAUCAGAACGAUGGCUCUGUCCUUUUCACAGGCAAGAGGAAAAACAACAUUUAUAAAAUAAAUCUUUCUGAUUUAAAAGAUCAAAAUGUUAAAUGUUUAAUGUCAGUUCACGAAGAGCAAUGGGUAUGGCAUAGACGCUUAGGCCACAUUAGCAUGAGAAAACUUUCUCAGCUAACUAAACUUGAGUUAGUCAGAGGCUUACCUAAACUGAAGUUUUCUUCAGAUGCUCUGUGUGAAGCUUGUCAGAAAGGAAAGUUUUCAAAAACAUCUUUUAAAAAGAAAAAUGUUGUUUCUACCUCCAAGCCUCUGGAGCUUCUUCACAUUGACUUAUUUGGUCCUGUGAAAACAGCAUCAGUCAAUGGAAAGAAGUAUGGACUAGUAAUCGUUGAUGAUUACAGCCGCUGGACAUGGGUAAAAUUCCUAAAGCACAAGAGUGAGUCUCACUCUGUAUUCACCAGUUUCUGUUCUAAAGUGCAAAAAGAAUUUGACUCUAAAAUUGUUAGAGUCAGAAGUGAUCAUGGUGGAGAAUUUGAAAAUAAAGAUUUUGAAGAAUUAUUUGAUUCUAAUGGAAUAUCCCAUGAUUUCUCCUGCCCUAGAACUCCACAACAAAAUGGAGUUGUAGAGAGGAAGAAUAGGACACUCCAAGAAAUGGCCAGAACCAUGAUCAAUGAAACAAAUGUAGCAAAGCACUUUUGGGCAGAAGCUGUAAAUACAGCGUGUUACAUUCAGAAUAGAAUCUCUAUUAGACCUAUUCUGGAUAAGACUCCCUAUGAACUGUGUAAGGGAAGAAAACCCAACAUUUCAUAUUUUCAUCCUUUUGGAUGCAUUUGCUUUAUAUUAAAUACUAAAGAACAUCUGAACAAGUUUGAUUCCAAAGCACAGAAAGGUAUUAUGUUAGGAUACUCAGAACGCUCUAAAGGCUACAGAGUAUACAACACAGAAACCAAAAUUGUGGAGGAAUCAAUUCAUGUUAGAUUUGAUGAUAAGCUUGACCCUGAAAAGUCAAAGCUAGUUGAAAAGUUUGCAGAUUUAGAGAUCACUCUGGUAGAAUCUGAGAAAACUCCAGAAGCAACUGUCACUCCAGACUCUGAAGAAAUUAAAUCUCCAGAAAUUCCAAGGAAAGUCAAGAGUCGUAGCAACGUAUCUGAAGAUUUGAUUUUGGGAAACAAAGAUGAACCUGUUAGAACCAGAUCUACCUUCAGAACUUCUGAAGAUAUUCCUCUGGGACUAGUGUCUCUGAUUGAGCCUACGUCCUGUGAUGAAGCUCUUCAAGAUAACGAUUGGGUGGCAGCUAUGCAAGAAGAGUUAGAUCAAUUCUCCAAGAAUGAUGUCUGGGAUCUCGUUCCUAAACCCAGAGGCACUCAUGUCAUUGGAACCAGAUGGGUUUUCAGAAACAAACUGAACGAGAAAGGAGAAGUUGUCAGAAACAAAGCACGACUGGUAGCUCAAGGUUAUAGUCAACAAGAAGGUAUUGAUUAUAAUGAAACUUUUGCUCCAGUCGCAAGGUUAGAAUCUAUUCGUCUUCUUGUAUCUUUUGCUAUUAAUCACUCUAUCAAAUUAUACCAAAUGGAUGUCAAGAGUGCAUUUCUUAAUGGUUAUAUUUCAGAAGAAGUGUAUGUCAAUCAACCUCCAGGUUUUGAAAAUUCAAACUUUCCAGAACAUGUUUUCAAACUUAAGAAAUCCUUAUAUGGACUUAAACAAGCUCCCAGAGCUUGGUAUGAACGCUUAAGUAAUUUUCUUCUGGAACAAAAUUUUAUCAGAGGGAAAGUUGAUUCUACACUCUUCUGUAAAAAUCAUAAAAAUGAUCUCAUGAUAUGCCAAAUUUAUGUUGAUGACAUUAUUUUUGGUUCUGCUAAUAUCUCUGUUUGCCAAGAAUUUUCUAAGUUAAUGCAGGCAGAAUUUGAAAUGAGUCUAAUGCAAGAACUAAAGUUCUUUCUGGGAAUUCAAAUUAAUCAAACUCCAGAAGUCACGUACAUUCAUCAAAGCAAGUACAUUAAAGACGUUCUGAAGAAGUUUGAUAUGUCUGAAUGCAACUCUGCAAAGACUCCUAUGCACCCAACUUGCAUUCUGGAAAAGGAAGAGGUAAGCAACAAGGUUUGUCAGAAGCUCUAUCGAGGUAUGAUAGGCUCUCUUCUCUAUCUGACUGCUACUCGUCCUGAUAUUCUCUUUAGCGUCUGUCUUUGUGCCAGAUUCCAAUCAGAUCCUAGAGAAUCUCAUUUAACAGCUGUUAAGAGAAUUCUUAAGUAUCUGAAAGGAACUCCUAACCUGGGCCUGAUGUAUGAGAAAACAUCAGAGUAUAGGCUUUCUGGUUAUUGUGAUGCAGAUUAUGCAGGAGAUAGAAUAGAACGAAAAAGCACAUCUGGAAAUUGCCAGCUUCUGGGAAACAAUCUAAUCUCCUGGGCUAGCAAAAGACAGUCAACUAUCGCUCUAUCAACUGCAGAAGCAGAAUAUAUCUCAGCAUCACUGUGCACAACUCAGAUGCUCUGGAUGAAACAUCAGCUAGAAGAUCUUCAAAUCUUUGAGAGUAACAUUCCUAUCCUUUGUGAUAAUACUGCUGCUAUUUGUUUGAGUAAGAAUCCUAUUUUACAUUCCAGAGCCAAACACAUAGAAAUUAAACAUCAUUUUAUUAGAGACUAUGUUCAGAAAGGAAUAGUAACGCUGAAGUUCAUUGAUACAGAACAUCAAUGGGCAGAUAUCUUUACUAAGCCUCUAGCUGAAGAUAGAUUUCUUUUCAUCUUAGAAAAUCUGAACAUUAAAAAUUGUCCUGAGUAAAAUUUGGCUCUGAACAUGUAAAAUGAGACUCUGAUAAAAACAAAUACACUUCUGCCUCUGACUCUGAUACUUCUACCAAGUUAAGAAGAUAUCUGAGUUAGAAAUCUUCAGAAAUCCUUUGGUAUUCCUGAAGAUCAGAUACAUCAACACGUGGGGAACAUGCGUCUAACCCUAGAACUUCUAGACAGCUGUCAAAAGAAAUCAAAGGUCAGAACGCUUGAAAUCUCCUCGAGCAGUGUGCUUACUGUUGGGAUUAGACAUUCAUUAAUUAGCUAUAAUCAUUUUUCCCCCAAACGUGCUAUUUUGGUUUUUGUGCUAACGCUGGUAUGUGUGUCGUUUUGCAUGUGUUUUUACCCUUAGUAUAUAAACACUUUCUCUCACUUUUCACACUUAUCACUCUCACUCACUCUAAAACCCUAAACCCUUCUCUGAAAGUUCUCUGCAAGUUCUUCAUCUUCUUCAAUCUCCAUCAUCUUCAUCAACAUGGACGCUCAACAACAAGAACUCUUCAACCAUUCUCAACAAGUGGAAUCUAGUUCCAAUCCCCAAACCUCAAACACUCAAACACCCACGGUUAUAAGCGUCACCACAACCCCAGUUUACAAAGAACCUCACAUUCUUGACCGUGAACAACACAUUCAUCUUUCAACUCCCUUUGAAGGUUUGGAUGUACUGUGUGAAUCGCUGGUGGAUUUUGAGAAUUUGAGAAGAAAUGGCGUUGAUUUAACUGAAGAUCUUCGCAAGCAAGGUUGGGAAACCUACUUCAACAGAUUGUAUGGUCCAAUCUAUCCUCUUCUGGUGAAAGAAUUCUGGAGAUGUGCAGAUGCUGAUGAUGAGUUCAUUGUUUCUUUUGUUCUGGGAGUGAAGAUCAUCAUCACAGAAGCAUCUAUUGCCUCUUUGCUGAACAUGGAGAGAACUGGAGGUAAAAGGAUUUACAACAUUCCUCCAAGGUCCAAGCGCAUCACAGAAGUCAUUAACCCUACAAUCUUCAAAGCAAAUGUUGAAGGAAACCCAUCUAAGAACAAGGAGCUUCAUCAGAACCUCCGAGUUUGGCUGAAGAUUAUUCUGGGAACAAUCCAUCAUCGUCCAGCCUCCAACUCUUCAGAUUAUAUAAAUGCUGAUCAGAAAUGCAUCCUCUACUGUAUUCAGAAGGGUAUUCCAAUCAACCUCCCUGUUCUCCUCUUCAGAUAUCUGAGGGAUUCAGUCAGAGAAACAAGGAAUAAUAUGAAGCCCAGAUCCUACAUUCCUCUGGGAAGAUUGCUCUCUGACAUCUUCAUUGAGCAUGGGCUGGUAGAUGCUCUGGAGAAGACCAGAUGUAUGGAUGAUCUGGCAAUUGACGUUGGAAAGCCUCUGAAUGCCAAAAAUCUGAGGAGUAUGGGAAUCAUCAAAGACAUCAGAGUCAAGCCCACUAUGAAUGUAACCUGGGAAGCUCUGAAGGAUCAGAGGAAGAUGCCUCAUGGCCUUGAAAGGUUCUUCAAGAAUGAACCCAGAGAUGCCAUUGCUAUCUACCUUCAGGAUCGUCUGGAUGAAGGCAUUGAUAUCUCUGAUUUCCGCCUUGAAGACUGUCUGGACUCUGUAGAAGAUCUGGUCAGAUACAAAAGAGGUCUUUCUGAGAAGAAGAUAGCUGAGGAAGCAAGGAAGGCAAAGAAAGCCAGACUUGGAGAAACCUCUGGCACCAAAGCUUCAGCACCUCUGAAUGUCUCCUCUGGUAAGUCCAUUCCUCCUGUCUCUUCUGAAUCUGUAAUGGCUUCCUCUAACCCUCUCUCCUCUCAACCAAUAUAUACCACCGCUGAAAUACCACCUUCAACCAUCAGAACCUCUCAACCUCCACCUGUUCUAAAAAUUGCUCGUAAUUUCACAACAACCUCUGACCCUAAUCAACUAUAUCACCACAGCUCUUCCUCAUCCUCUGAAUAUGAAUCACCCCCUUACCUUUCCCCUUCUUCUGACCAAGAGUUCUCUGAACAAGAGUCCUCUGACCAAGAACACUCUGACCCAAACUCCCCAACAAUAGCUGAAAUUUAUGCUAAAAAUUUCGCUCCACAACCCUCAAGACAAUCUGAAGUAACCUCUCCCCUCCAAACUUCACUUCCACCACAACAAACAACAACCUUACCCUCUGAAACUCAACCAUCUGAUCCCUUCACCUCUAAUAUCACUCCACCAUUUAUUCCCGCUGUACCUGGACCAGACUCUGACCCUUUAGACCUAAAUCCACUAUAUGCUUCAUCCCCUAGUCUUCAACCAGACGCAGAUUCUGAACUUCAAGCAGAAUCUGAACCUCAACAAACUGAACCUCAACCUCUAAAUCUCAGCCCUCAAAACUCUCCACCUCAUUCACCUGAACCUGAACCUGAACUUACCAUACCUACCCUUGAGGAGGCCAUUAUACAGGUUGCAGAAGCUUCAGUCCAGAAGAUCAAGUCUCUGGCUAAAAACUCUGAAGUUAGUGAUGAUCCUAAAUCUGUUAGGACACACUGGAACAGAGUCAUUAGUUGGAUGACCUCUGAGUCUUAUAGGCUGAAGAGUAUCUCUGAACAAGUCAGAAAUGGCUACAUCAGAGACUCUGAGGAAAGACUCCAAGAGAGACUGGCUAGAGAAGCUGAGGCCAGAAGGUUAGAGGAAGAGAGACUGGCUAGAGAAGCUGAGGCCAAGAGAUUAGAGGAAGAAAGAUUGGCUAGGGAAGCUGAAGAAGAAGCUAAGAGGUUGGAAGAAGAACGCCUGGCAAAGGAAGCAGAACUUCUAAGGAUUCAGGAAGCUGAAGCCAAGGCUAAGGCAGAUGCAGAAGCCCAAGCUGCUGCUGAAGCUGAAGCUCAGCAGGCUCUGAUUCAGGGGGAGUCUUCCUCUGCGAUCCCUCUGAUUCUUAACACUCUGAAGGAGAUCAAGCAAGAUCAGAAAGAGAUCAAGCAAGAUCAGAGUGAGCUCCGGGCAAGGAUGGACAAGCAAGACGCUCUGAAUGAAAACCUCCAGAAUAUGUUUGCUAUGCUACUACAGAGACUUCCUCCUCCUCCAAACCCUUAGGCACUUAGGAUUUCUUUUGUUUGCCUAGUGUUUUUGCUUCUGUCUUUUCUUUUUUUUCUCUGAUAUUUCUGUUGAAUCUGAUGUUUUGACUGCUGCUUGCCUUUGUGCUUUUGUUUAAUGAAGUGUUUUUCUCUCUAUUAUUUUUUUUAUGUUUUAUGCCUUUUUGAUUAUGCCAAAAAGGGGGAGAAAUUAUUAAAUAGCUCUGAUGAAAAUUAUGUCUAAAACCUUAAGCAUUCUGCAACAAUUAUAGAAAUAGUUCUGAUAUAAAUAGCUCUGAUUAAAUAAUAGCUCUGAUUAAAUAACUCUAACAUUAAAAUUAAGAAAUUGCAGAAAGUUUUCAGAAAUCUCAUUGCUUGGAAAGCUCUGGUAAGAACUUCUGAACUCCCUAGUACUAACUCAGGGGGAGCUUUUGUCUAUCUGAUCUAAUAUUUUUCAUGUUUCAUCUGAUAAUUUUAUUUGUUUUGUCAUCAUCAAAAAGGGGGAGAUUGUAAGAACAAAAAUUGUUCUACAACAGAUUCCAUGAUUUUGAUGAUAACAAAGGAUGAAACCAAAAAUGGCACCCUAACGAAAAGUUUCUAAGUGUGCAGGGUUCUAAAGAAAGAAGAAAUAAAUCUGAUGAUGUCAUCAGAUGCAAAACAAGAUCAGAUGCAAAAUCUCAAGUAUCAGAAGCAUCUAAAGAGGAAUCUCGUUUCAAGAAGCUCUGACUCUGGACAAAACUACAAAGUAUCAGAAGCAUCUGAACAUGAAGUAAAGUCUAGAAGCUCUGACUCUGAACAAAUGCCUUCUGUAAAUUCUGAAGUUAUCAGCGCCAUCUGAACUUUCAAGAGAUAACAUCAGAAGCCAGUUUCUCCAGAUACACAAAGACUCUAAUCAGAAUUGUUAAUCAUGAUGAAGUAACGUUUAAGCCAAGUUAAAGUUCUGCAAAUGGAUUUCCUCAAUUAGAAAGAGACGUUAAUCUCCACUUCCAAGAGAGAAGAUACUAAUUGUGGUAAGUAGUCACUUCUAAGAGAAAAAGUCUACUGCAGAAGCUAUUAAUGGAAUGGCGUAACUACAUCUCAAUAUCCAACAGAUUCAACGCUACUUCAACUCUACUUCAACUCCUAUAAAUAGAGAAGAAAUCUCAUUCAGUAAACACGAAGAAAUCACUAGCCAAAACUAUACUGAAAUCAUAUCACGCUCAAGAAAAACAUCUUUGUUCUUCAAAGAUUUUCACUAAGCUUUUGCUUAUCAAGUGAAAAAUUUGUUCUUAAGUUUGUAAUAUUUGCUUUCUUAGAAGCACUCUAGAUUACACAUCUUGUAUCUAAUUUUUAUUUGAUUUCCUCAAGUGACUCUUUGUAGUCUGUAGACUUGAGAGGACUAAGAGAUUUUCUUCUCUCUUAGGGGUUGUUUGUAAUCUUUCAAGAUUAGUGGAUUAAGUCCUUGUUGAAGGCGAAAUCACCUUGGCCGGGUGGACUGGAGUAGCUUUGUGUUAUAAGCGAACCAGUAUAAAAUCUUUGUGUGAUUUCAUUUUGCAAAAGCGCUUAUUUUUCAAACAAUUCAAACCCCCCUUUCUUGUUUUUCUCACCUUCAAGUUUCACAAUUCUUUGAUGAACUAAAAUGCAAUUGAGGACUCCGCGUCUUUGAGUCAUAAAUCAUGGAGACUCAUAAUGCGUCCAAAAAUGCAUAUCCAAAAUUUAAGUGGCAUUUUCAAAUUUUUAUAGGAUGGUUUUCCAACACUUAUGUAGAGAUAAACAAUUUCGUAAUUAAAGGUCUCUAAGAGGAGUUGAAAUAAAUAUAUUUAAAAAAUUAGUAACAUAAUUAUUUAAGGAAUAAAGUUUUCUAACCAAAAGAAUUUUUCCCUAAUUUUUUUGUGCCUAAUUUAUUUUGCUAACAAAGUAAAGCCCUGAUUAUUGUUACUAAAUUUUAGUAAUUUUCAUUCAUCUCUCAAUUAAUAUCUCUUAUAAUCCUCAUUAACUCUCAAUUAAUGUAAUUCAUAUCUAUCAAAAAAAAUUGAAAAUUUUGUAUCUAGGCUUGGGACCAACUAGUUUAGUGAAUUGCUAAUUUCAUCUUAAGUGUUGGAAAUAUGCCCUAUAAAAUUUUGAAAAUACCCUUUUGAAUCCGAAAAUGCAUCUUCGAACGCACCUUACGCCUCACUAAAACACACCUCAACUUGUUGAUGUUUUUUAUGUAAUUCAAGUGAUGUAACCAGUUAUCUCGGGUAGGUAACCGGUUACAUAAAUGUCUAAAGUUCAAUCAAGUAGCAAAAAUGUGGAGUUUUUGAAGGUGUAACCGGUUAACCAUUUUGGUGUAAACGGUUACCACAAAAGCUGAUUUAAUUCAAUGUCAGGUGUAACCGAUUAUCCAUUUUUGUGUAACAUUACAAGCGUAAUAUUUUGAUUUUUCCUGCUAUUUUACUUGGUCAAUUCAGUUCCCAAUUGUGUUGUAUCUCUUGUAUAAGUGUUUAGAAUGCACACUCAUCUAAGGUUAAUGCAAUAAUAAUCUCUCCCCCUUAAUUCUCCUCUUUCACACUCCACAUCCAAAGUAUCUCCAUCAUUGUUCACCAAACUUGUGGUCUCUUGUUCCAAAAUUUGACAUCAAGAGUCUGGUUCAGAUCCACAAACACCUAGUGUGCAACAUGAAUUAUGUUUCCAAUGAAAGAAUUCCUGCAAACCUACCUAUCUUUGAUGCGAAGAAUUAGGAUAAACGGUGCAAGGAAAUGAAGAUGUUGUUUGGAUACCAAGAUGUUCUUAAAGUAAUCAAUAAGGAUGUUACUCCUCUUAUUCAAAAUGAAACAGAGGCGCAACAAGCAACACAUAAGGAAGAGAAGAAGAAAUAGUUCAAUGUGUUGAUGGCGAUGAUUUUAAGAAAGUUGAUGAUUGUGAAUCGUCAAAGUAAGCGUGAGAGAUCUUAGAGAAGGCAUGUGCAUGGGUUGACAAGGAAAAGGUGGUGAGGUUACAAACUCAUAAACGUCAGUUUGAAUUGAUUCAAAUGGAGGAAAAGGAGAUAAUCAAUGAUUUUGCAAUGAGAAUCACUCGGUUGGUGAAUCAAGUGAAGGCAUGCAAAGAAACUGUUACGGAGUUGUAUGUUGCUGCUAAAAUCUUGUGUUCUUUAACACCAAGAUUUAACAGUAUAGUUGUGGCAAUUGAUGAGUCAAAGGAUCCCGCGACGAUGAGCAAAGAGGAGUUGCAAAGUUCUCUUGAGGCUCAUGAGAAAAAGAUGGAAAAGAGGAAUAACGAUAAGGCAAAGGCGGAGAUUGCUUUGCAAGCUCGUUUCAAUGAGAAGGACAAGAGAUCGAAAGGAAAAUGGCCCAAGAAAAGAAAAGGGAAUUUUCAUAAUUUGGGUGGAAGAGAGUCCUAAAAUUCAAAUGAUUUGACUUGUCAAAGGGGUGAGAGCAGCUACAAUAAACAUGGUGGUCAAGGAAACUUUAGAGGUAGAAGGAAGAAGUUUGAUAAGAGCAAGGAGAUGUGCUAUAAGUGUCAAUGGUUCGUUCAUUUUGCAAAAAAAUACAAUGUGAACAAGAAAGAAUCUCAAGGGAUUAAACCAAGGUUGCAAGAUAAGAGUUUGAUGAAGAGAAUAUAAUUUUGGUCAUGAUCAAAGAAGGGAAUUAUAGCAGCAAACAACUGUGGGACAACAGCGGCAAUAAAUCAAAGAAUGCUAAAAAGGUCGGUUGAAUGAUACGAUUAACCGAUCGCAUGAAGAGGAAGAUACCAUGAUGAGUUUGAAAGGAGUUCAAUGUAGUGAUGAGUGGUAUUUGGACUUGGGUUGUUCAGCUCAUAUGACAGGAAUAAAGGAUUGGUGUGUCAAAAUCAAUCGUGCCAUGAAGAAUAAACUAAAGUUUGCAGAUGAAACCACCCUAAUGAUCGAUGGGAUCGAUGAUGUUUUGAUCAUGAGAAGGGAUAAUGGACAUUACUUAAUCACAAAUUCUUGUACAUUUUUGGAAUCAAAUUUAACCUUCUAAGUAUUGGCCAAUUGCUUGAGAAGGAUUCCAAGAUUCACAUGGAAGACAAUGGGUUGUGCGUUAUGGAUAUAAGAGGAGGCUUGGUCCUUAAAGCGCAUAUGGCUGCCAAUAGAACCUUUAAGGUUGAGUUGAAGGUUAUAGAGUAUAAAUGUCUUGCUACUACAUCAAGUAGACAACAGUGGAUAUGGCACUAUCGUCUUAGACAUCUCAAUUUUAGAGAUCUCAAAGACUUUCAAAAGAACAUAAUGGUAACAGGGCUGCCAUUGAUCAACAUACUAGCUGAAAUUUGUGAAGAAUGUGUGCAAGUGAAGCAACAUAAGGGAAAAUUGAGCAAGUAGACUCUAUUGGUGGAAAUAUGUAUUUUGUCACAUUUAUCGAUGAUCAUAGUACAAAACUAUGGACAUACCUAAUCAAGAUAGAUGACAAUGUAUUUCAUGAUCGUCCGUCAUUGCAUAUAUUUAGUCGAAGAAUCAGACAAAACAAGUGAAAGUUAAGAUAAAAUGAAGAAGAAUAAGGAAAAAAUAUCUAAGCAUGGAAACUGGGGACUUAUUGAAAUUUUGAGUAAAAAAGGGAGCAAAAGUGUGCAACCACUGGAAUAAUCAUGCGCACCAUCACGUAGCAUCGUGCACACAAUGGGGUCUUUAAAGUUGCAUCGCGCAUGCGAUACAAGGAAUCACGCGCGUGAUAAAUACUUUUUAUGGGCUUUUCAGACGCGUUCUGGUCCAUUCUAACGCCUUUAAAAGGGGAUUUUCUGAACUUUCACAAGAGUUACAAAAUUGGGAGAUCUAGGCACUACUUUGAGAGCACAAGUGGUGAUUUUUAUAACAUUAGAAGUUAUUGGAGACCAUUACUUCAACGUAUUUCACAUGUUAUUUUCAUCUAUCAAUUAUGAUAUUUUUAAUUGCAUUAUGAGUAGCUAAGCUCCUCUAGAUUAGGUUGUAUACUGAUGAACCUAUUUCUAUAUUGUUGGAAUCUAUGUUGAUUUAACAAUUGUGUGAACCUUUUGAACUAUAAUUCCAUUCAAUUGCUUCUUGUUCAUAAUGCUUUUUAUGUGAGAUGAUAUUUUAAUAUGAUUUUGGGAACAUAAGGAAUACUGACCAUUAGUCUAUGUGUUGGACCUAGGGAAAUUGUUGUACUUACGCUGGUUGAAUAGGAAUAGGAGACCCUGAGUAGUGGCGUAGAGAAUUAACGCUUUAUACAUCGCCUAACCCUGCUUACGCUGGAGGACUAAGGAUAAAAAGCUCUGAGUGGUGGUUAGUGAGUUAUUUCAUGAGGGAUCAACUAUAACAGUUUUGUUAAUUCGUCGUGGUGUUAUAGUGAUAAGACCAUUCGUACAAGACAUCAAACAUCAACAAUAGAGGAAUAUGAGAUUUUAAAACACAACUUGGCCGCUUUCGUGAUAUUGUUUAAUUGUUUAUUUACUUUUUGCACAGAAACUCAACCCCCCCCCCCCCNNNNNNNNNNNNNNNNNCCCCCCCCCCCCUUUACUAGUUUUUUAUAAAUUGCACACAUUUUGUCUUGCUUGAACGAAGUUCACGUGGAUUCGAUCUUUUUAUUACUUCGACGAUGUCAAUACACUUGUCGAGAAGUCAUCAAGUUUUUGGCGCUUUUGCCAGGGACUAUUAAUUUUUCAUCAAGGCGAUGUUUGUGCAAUUUUUUUUAGUCUUUAAAUUUUAUGUUUUAUUUUCUUGUUUCUCAAAAUGCUAUUGAGGUAUUUUCUAUUUGUGUAUGUACCGUUCAGGAUCAACAUUAAUACCAUUGGAUCCAAAAAUUGAAAGAAACGCACAUGCUCUCAGAAAAGCUGUUAGAGGAGCAACUCUGGAAAGAGGAAUACUAGAAGAAGAGUAAUUAUCAAGUUAGUCAUACUCUGAAGAUGAAGCUGUAAUGGCAGAUGCACAACCCCUAACUAUGGGGGAUUAUUAUAAAUGAACCGAUGAAGGACACUUCUCCAGAGGGUUUGUACCGGUAGACCCUUCUAACUUUGAUAUUAAAAAUUAUGUGCUUUAAGGUUUGAGAGAAAAUUUGUUCGGCAGGAACACGAUUAGAGACCUAUGGGUGCAUCUUACACACUUCUAUGAAACAACUUCAAUGUGAAAAUCAAUUGAUGCCACUGAAGACCAGGUUAAAUUGAGGUUGUUUGGGUUCUCACUAAUUGGAAGGGCGAAGAUUGGUUACUUUUCCUCCCGAAUGGAACGAUACGAACAUGAAAGGAAUUAGAGGAUAAAUCCCUGGAAAGAUUUUUCACUACUACUCAGUUUACCGAGCGCUAAGCAGAAAUUGUGAGGUUUGAGCAGUAGGAAAUUGAGUCACUUUAUGACUCUUGGGAAAGAUUCAAACUUUUGUUACGCAGAUGCUCGAAUCACAACAUGAAUAAUAUAGAGCAGAUGCAAAACUUCAUUAAAGGUCUCAAAGUCAAACUCACGUAUUUUUGGAUGCUUCUACGAGAGGUACUAUCUGAAAAAUGAAUGAACCAUGGGUAAAAGAUAUCAUUGAGAAAAUGUGUAUAAUUGAGUACCGAUCCAAGAACGAAAGGUCGAUCAAGAUGGGAACUGUGGGCACGCCUAAAGGUAUGUUACCUAUUGAUACCCACAUUGCUCUUUUAGCUCAGAUUGAAUUAUUAAAUAAAAAGCAAGCUGGAAGAAGCUUAGUUAAAGCUAACGUAAGUCAGGUACAAGCACUUAAAAGCGAUUUAUAUGGAGGAUAACAUGCGAAUGGAAGUUGUUCAUUGGAAGGGACAAGUGAGGAGGUAAAAUUUUAUAAUUUUUAAAAAAAAUAACUUGUAUUCAAACACAUAUAAUCCGGGUUAAAAAGACCACCCAAAAUUCCUUUGGAAUAAUAAUCAAAAUUCAAAUGCUAACUAAGGGAUGCAACAAAGCCAACAAGCUCUGUUUCAAAGAAAUCCAUCACAAAUGGUAGAGACCUUGAAAAUUUUCAUUAAGGUCACUCAAAGUAGCUUUGCUAGGGUAAAUAAGACCCUUGAAGAAAUGAGUAGAAACUAGGAUGCGUCUAUCAAAAUUUUGGAGAUGAAGAUUGGUCAAUUAUCCAGACAAGUAGCUACUUUUCCAAGCUCAAGUGGAGGAUUCACCAGUAACAUUGUUGAUAACCCUAAGAAUGAUAACCCUAAAUAUAGGUUUAGGGGAAAUUACUGAAAAGGAUAAGGAGGAGAUAGUUAAAGAACGUGUGGUUAAGAUAGAUGAGGGUACAAAUCAAGGUGACCAAGAGGAAAGAGGAGACAUCAUUGAUCAACUUAUUGACAAAAAUUCUCCUCGGGGGAGAACAAAGAAGCAGAUCAUGACUGAACCAAAUCCUCCUUUACCAGAUCACGUAAAACCACCGUACCCAAUAAUUAAAAAGAAAGUGGUUUAAGAUGAUGAAGCGAGAAUGUUUGCAAAGUUCAAGGAAAUUCUAGCUACUCUCCGGGAAAGUAUUUCGUUCCAUGAAAUUUUAGAACUAAUGCCUAAGUUUGCUAAAUUUAUGAAGGCGUUACUAAAUGGGACGGAAGAGAAAAGGAUCAAGGAACAUGUAAACAUGACCGAAAAGAAUGAUAUGGUAAAACCUCAAUCCUUACAACCUAAACUAAAAGACUCAAGUAAAUUUAUGAAGGAGUUAUUAAAUGGGACGAAAGAGAAAAGGAUCAAGGAACAUGUAAACAUGACCGAAAAUGAUGAUAUAGUAAAACCUCAAUCCCUACAACCUAAACUAAAAGAAUUAGGUAAGUUUACUAUUUCCUAUAAUAUUAGUGGAUUCAAUAUUCUGCAUGCUCUAUGUGAUAUGGGAUCUAACAUAAAUGUCAUGCCACCGAAAACUGUCAAAGAAUUAAAAGUGGGUGAGAUCACACCGAGUAACAUGACUCUCAGUCUAGUUGAAUUGUCUAUUACUCAUUCAAUUGGUACUUUACGCGACAUAUUAGUACCUAUCGACGACUUAUUGUUUCCUAUAGAUUUUAUAGUGCAUGAUACAAAAGAAGAUUCGGGAGGAUCUAUUAUUCUUGGACAUCCAUUCUUGGCAAUCGGGAAAGCAAAAGAUUGAUGUGUAAACUGGUCAACUUAUCUUGAAGUCAAAUAAAAGGAAUGUGGUUUUCAAGGUAUAUGACUGGACACCUUAUGUGGAUAAUUUGGAUACUUUCUACUAUCUGGAUGAAAAAGGUAGGAAAGUAGAUAAAGGAACAAUGAGAAAGAAAGUGACAGGCGUGAGGGUGUCCCUUGCGCCUGACGUACCUUAGACAUGGAUUAUCAAGCUAGUGAUGUUAAAAAAGUGUUUGAUGGGAGGCAACUCAUCAAUAAGAAUUUAUUUUUUUAUCAUAGUGAAUAUUAAUUUUUCUAACCUUGUUAAUUUUUGUGCUAUGUUAUUGGAAGAGAAAAUAGGUGAAAGAAGAAAAGAAAGAAAAAGCAAAAGGGAAGAAAAUAGAAAAAGAAAAGAGAGAGGAAAGUUUCAUCCCCCAGAAUCAUCACGUAUGAUAAUAUAAACUAGUUCUUUACAAUAAUAAAAUUUGAUAUUUAUUUAUACAAACACAAUUAUAUAAAGAGAAUAACACACAAAUCACACAUGAUAAUUUUAGAAUAAUUAUACUCUAAUAUUUUUUGAGUCGUGAUAUAUCCUCUUCUUAAAUAUUUGAAAGUUGAAUCUCUCUCACUAAUCUCUAUUCCCCUAUUUAUUUUAAGAAUAAACAUAUUGAAUUAAUAAAACAUAAUUGCACCUUUCUUAAAGGUUAUACAAACAACUACUAAAGUUGAAAAAACUAAAGAGAGGUCAACUCAAUCUUUAUCAAAUUAAAUUAAAGUUUAUUAUAAAACACAAACAACUAGUUCAUUCAAAUGAUAACUUGUUUAGUACACAAGUAAGAUCUUACUUAAUACAUAGAAAUAAGAUCUUACAGAAUAUAGAGAUUAAAAACAUAGGAAUAACAUGAAAAGCUUUUAAAAUGACAUAGACAUUGAUUAACAAAGAUAUGAACUAGUUUCGGGUAUUUCUUAACCAUCCGUCAAGGUAAACUUGUUUGGAGUCAGGGGUGGAUUUUGCUUUCUCGACUCGGAUAUCUUUCAACCAUCCAUCAAGGUAAACCUGGUUGUUGUCAGAGGUGGAUUUUACUGUCUCGGCUCGGAUAUCUUUCAACCAUCCAUCAAGGUAAACUUGUUUUGGAUCAGAGGUGGAUUUUGUUUUCUCUGCUCGGGUAUCUUUCAACCACCCAUCAAGGUAUACUUGGUUGGAGUCAGGGGUAGAUUUUAUUCUCUCGUUUCGAUAAUCUUUCAACCAUCCAUCAAGGUAAACUUGGUUGGAGUCAGACAUGGUUUCUGUUUGCUUUGCUCGAGUAUUUUUCAACCAUCCAUCAAGGUAAACUUGGUUGGAGUCAGAGGUAGAUUUUUCUUUCUCAGCUCGGGUAUCUUUUAACCAUCCAUCAAGGUAAACUUGUUUGGAGUCAAGAUUUUUCUUUCUCAGCUCGGGUAUCUUUUAACCAUCCAUCAAGGUAAACUUGUUUGGAGUCAGAGGUGGAUUUUGUUUUCUCUGCUCGGGUAUCUUUCAACCAUCCAUCAAGGUAAACUUGAUUGGUGUUAGGCAUGGACUUUUCUUUCUCAACUCUGAUAUUUUUCAACCAUCCAUCAAGAUAAACUUGGUUGGAGUCACUUGUAGAUUUUGUUUUCUCAACUCGGGUAUCUUUCAACCAUUCAUCAAGGUAAACUUGGUUGGAUUCAGAGGUGGAUUUUGCAUUCUCUGCUCUGGUAUCUUUCAACCAUCCAUCAAGGUAAACUUGGUUGGAGUUAGGUGUUGACUUUUCUUUCUCAACUCUGCUAUCUUUCAACCAUCCAUCAAGAUAAACUUGGUUGGUGUCACCUGUAGAUUUUGCUUUCUCAGCUCGAUUAUCUUUCAACCAUCCAUCAAGGUAAACUUGGUUGGAUUCAGAGGUGUCUUUUGCUUUCUUUGCUCUGGAAUCUUUCAACCAUCCAUCAAGAUAAACUUGAUCGGAGUUCUGGGAGGAUUUGGUUUUCUCUGAUCGUGUAUCUUUCAACCAUCCAUCAAGAUAAACUUGGUUAGAGUUAGCAAUGUGUUUUCGACUCUUCAAUGGAUUUUUGAGCCAACCAUCAAGGUAAGGUUGAUCAGCUUGUAUUUCUUGUACAUUCUCUUGCUGAAGUUUGAUAUAUCGGGCAAAGCUUCCUUGUCCAUUCUAUAAUACAAUUGAAUAAAUGGAUAUUAGUGAGUUAUUUUUGGAUGGUAUAUAUGAUUACAAAAACAAAAUUAUGUGUUUUAUGAGACACAUUAUGUUACAUAAAUAAGACACAUUCAUUGUAUAUUUCAGAUGGAUAUAGAAUGCGAAAUAAAAAUCAAAGAAAAACAAUUUUUUAAAUUUCAUUGCCGCAUAGAAAAUAUUAUUUUGUCAAAUUAAAUAGAACAACUUGAUUAAGUGAAUGAUGAAAUCAAAUCAAAUAAAGAUGCAAAAUGAUAGAUUGUGAUAAAUAAAUGAUGAAAAAUAUAUGUGUAAAAGAUACAAGAAUGGAUGCAUAACUUACAAUCAAUAAGAGCAUGAUAAAAGGGAGGAGAGACAAAACAUCUUUGUUUGUCAUUUCUUUAAUGUUAUGAUUUUGUGGGAAAAUUGUUUUAAUGUAAAAAGAUGUAUUGAAAUGGAAGUGAAUUGUGCUAUUUAUAAGUGAAUGAAAAGAAAAACUACAUUAAGGACAUUGAGACUUUGGUUGGCAAGAUUAUUUUUUUAAAUAUUUAGUUUAAAUUAUUUUUUAAAUGUUUAGUUUAAUUGAUAAGUUUAUAUGUCUAAGAAAGAUCAAUUUACUAAGAUUUAUUAUUUACAAGAUCUAUUAGGUGUGUUGUUUUGAGUUAUAAAAAAUAUUAAAAAAAUUGUUUGUUUGAUAUAUUUUUUUAAUUAGAAGCUCCUAACUAAAUCCUCUUAGUUUAAAAUAAAUAAAUUUUAGAACUGCUACUGCAAUUAUUUUUAUUUUAAAAUUAAAAAUGAUUUUCUAAAAAUCCUUAAUAAAAACAUAUUAAAAUGACAAAGGUGAUUUUGUUAAAUGUUAAACAAACAUUUAUUUUGAUAAGUUAUUUCAAAUAACUUAAAAUUUCAUAAAUUUAUUUUAAUUUAUAAUUAAAGUGGUAAUUAUGAUAAUCUCGCCUCUUGAGUUCUAAUAUUUGAGCUAAUAGUAUAAAUAUGUUUUAGUUGAAUUAGAAUUUGCAUUAGUGAUAGUUUCAAUUUUACAAUUAAUUAGACUAAAAUAUUGAUGUUCGUCAUAUAUAUAUAUAUAUAUAUNUAUAUAUAUAUAUAUAUAUUAAAUAGUAAUUAUAUAUUAUAAAUUUUAAUUUUGGGAAAAAAAUAUUAUUUCAAUAUUUUAAAAUUUUAAUAAUUAUUGUUUUAUAAAAUUAAUUAUAAUGAGUAUAAUAUUUUAAUUUUAUUAUCAUCAAAUAUACCCUACAUCAAAAUUCACAAACUUUAAAUAUAAAUAUCGGGAUCCACUUAAUUGAAUUGGAAUUUAAACAUCAAAAUUUAGACAAAUGUUAAAUUUUGAAGCACUUGGUUUUUGAAUCAUGACUCUUCUACAACCAACUCCUAGGGACUUACUACAUAGCCAACAAUGAAUCCAAAAUAGUUUCACAAGAAACACUAAAAUACUGUGUUGGCCUUUGCAUGUUUAAGAUGUUCACAUGUAGCUGGGGUUUGCGUGCUUAUGAGCUUACCUAAUAGUAAGUUAAAAAAACAAUAUAUUAUUAUACUGACCAGUCUAAAGAGAAAUAGAUAAGUUACUGUAUUUGUUAUUAUAAUCAAAUAUUAUCUAAAAAAGAAAUAAAUUAUAAGGAAUAUGUUUUCAUUAUUUUUAUCUUUAUUUAAAGAAUAUAAAUAUUUUUUAAUUAAUGAUAAAUAAUUGAUUUUAAAUGUGAUUACGGUUUAUAUCUUUAUCUAAGAAAAUAAAUGAUAAAAUGUGAAUACUCAUAUCUAAAAUUAAAUAUUUAUCCAAUUAUGUAGGCCAGCCUCAUAUUUAUUGUAAAAAUUUUAACAAAGUUUAAAAUAAUGAAAAUUAGAAUAAUGGUAUUCCUACAUUAAAUCUUACAUCAAAUACUUACAUUAAAUAUUUUUUACCGUAUUUAAACGAUGAAUAAUAUUUUUAUUUUUAAUAAAAAAAUAUUUAUAUAAAAAUGUUUUUAUUUUUAAAAUUAUUUUUAUAAUAAAAAUAUAAAAUUUAUCACAAAAUAAUUUUAUUAUCGUAUUAACUAUAAAAAUAUAGGUUAUAAAUCACAUAUUUCACUUAUAAUUCAUUAACCAGUAAAAUACAUAAUAUUAAUCAAAUUAUGAUAUUAAAAUAUGAAAUAUAUAAUUUGCUUAAUUAUUAUAUUUUAUAUUUUAAUGUCACAAUUUAUUUAUAUUAUUUAUUUUAUUAAUUGAAUAUAAUAAUAAGUAAAAUAUAUGGUUAAUCAUCUAUAUUUUUAUGAUUAAUACAAUAAUAAAAUUGAUUAGUGACAAAUUUUAUAUUUAUAUUACAAAAAUAAUUAUAAAAAUAUAUCAAAAACGAGUUUAAGACAACGUAGGAAAAAGUGAAGUGACACUCAAAUAUUAUUUGCUCAUUAAGCAAUCAGUUAAAAUUAAAGUGAAUUAACGAAUUAAGCAUAAAGUUUCACACAAUCAAAAUUAGGGAACAAUAAAUCAAUCGAACAAAACAAAACUACUAAGUUUUGAGUGUAAAAUUUGGUGUAAUAUUAAAAAUUAAAAAAAAAUUGAGGUUUAUAAGAUGUAAAAUUAUUUAUUAAACUCUUUUAAUAAAUUUAAUAUUAUGAUAAUUUAUUAUGAUAAAUAAUAUUUAAAAUAAGAAAAGAUUGAGCUUUUAAAGGAUGAAAUUCUAGUCAUUAGAUUAAAGAAAACAUCACCAAAACCUUAUUUCACAGAUGAAAUCGACUACAUAUAUGAUAUAUCAAUUUUCACGCUAAUAUUCUAUCAAUCACCAUAUUUUAUAGCCAUUAGACUAUUUAAUCAAAAUUAUUCAUAAUAAAUUUCAUUUGAUAUUUACUUUUUAAUAGAUAAUAAAGUAGAUAUAUUUAAUCUUUAUUAAAAAAUUAUUAAACAUUAUUGGUAUUAAAUAUGAUUUUAUUAAUUUUAAUUUUGAUAUAAUUAAUGGAUAUAAGUAUUGGCUCAAGAUAUAUCAAAGCCUUUGCCAAAUUUUUAACAAAGAUUUUAAUAAUAAAAAUUAUGAGUGUAAUAUUUAAAAUAAAAAAUUGAGCUUUUUAAAAUGUAAAAUUAUUGAUUGAAUUAUCAUAAAUCAGUUAAGUGUGUAUUUAUGCAAGAUGGGACAUCCCAUUUGCAGGGGCACAAAUUCAACCCACAACAUCUCACUUUUUAUCUUGGAAAAUUCCAAUCAAUAAAUUACUUGAUCCAAAAAAAUCAUAGUAAAUCUUGUUUGAUAUUUAUUUUCAAUCAAAUAUAUGUAAUCCUUAAUGAAACCUUAAACAUUAUUGAUUUUAAAUAAGAUUUUAUUAACUUUAAUUUUAUACCAUUAAUAGAAGGACUAUAUUCUGGAACGAAUUAAUAUAUUUUCGUUAUUCUUAUUUUUAUUUAAAUAUUUAAAUAUUAUUUAAAUUAAUAAUAAAUAAUUGGUUUUAAAUGUGAUGAAGUUUAUAUCUUUAUCCGAAAAAAUAAACGAUAGUGAAUAUUUAUAUUAAAAAAUAACACAAUACACUUAAAUAUUUAAUCUCCUUAACCUAUCUAAAUAUCUAGGCCGGCAUAAGACAUAUUGAAGUUUAGUGUAAAAAAUUUAACAAAGCUUUUAAUUAUAAAAAUUAUGACUGUAACAUUUAAAAUAAAAAAAAUUGAACUUUAUUAUUAGAUGUCAAAAUAUUUAUUAAACACUCUUAAUAAGUAUUAAAUAUAAAUUUAUUAAAUUUAUUUUUGAUACAAUUAAUGAAUAUAAGUACGGGCUCAAGAGAUAUACACGCCUUUGAUAAAAAAUUUAACAAAGAUUUUAAUUAUAAAAAUUAUGAAUAUAACAUUUAAAAUAAAAAAGUUGAUCUUAAAAGAUGUAAAAUUCUUUAUAAAAUUAUUAUAAUAGUUUUUGAUUAAUUAAUAUGCACAGUCAAUAUCAUUUUUUUAUUAUUAUUAUUAUUAUUAUUAUUAUUAUUAUUAUUAUUAUUAUUAUUAUUAUGCGUCGGUGUACAACUCAUAAAAAAAGACGUCAAUCAUAAAUAUAUAUUGGUACAGUGUCGUCAAUUGGAUUGACGCAUCCUCGUAGGUGUUAUAUGCAGGGAUGAAGCUAGAGAUUUUGAACUGUAGGAGCAAUAUAUUAAUAUAUAAAUUUAUUUCUAUUUAUUUUUAAAUCAUAAAUAUAUAUUUAAUUUAUUUUUAAAUCAUAAAUAUAUAUUAUAUCUAUUUUUUAAGAAAUCUAUCUCUAAAACAAUUUUUAUUAAUUUUUUAAAAUUUUAAAAUUUUAAAAUUUUGUAAAUUUUAAAAUUUUAUUAUCAAGAAAAAUAUUUUUUUAUGUAUUUUUUAUGAGAUCAUAAUAUUAACAUAAAAUUCUAUAAAUCAAUUUUUUUAAAGAUCGAGGAAAAAAUUAUUUUAAAAUUAUAACAAGAAAAACAAUUCAAUAUAUUUCAUCUGACAUGUUUUAAUUUAAUUAUUGAAAAUAAAAAAUUCACUAUAUUUUUGGACAAUAUCCUAAAUAAAUAUUCAUAUACUUUAUUAUUUUCAUCUAAUUUUUAGUAAUAUCUUCAUAAUAAUAAUAUUAUUUAUAUAAAUUUAAAAUAAUAUAAAUUUAUAUAUAUAUAUAUAUAUAUAUAUUUAUAUAUAUUAUAUAUAUAUUAAUAUAUAUUAUAUAUUAUAUAUAUAUAUAUAUAUAUAUAUAUAAUAUAUAUAUAUAUAUAUAUAUAUAUAUAUUAUAUAUAUUAUUUAUAGUAGGGACCAUUUGUCUUAUGCUAUUUUAAUUUGUUAUUUCUUAAUUUCCCCGUCUAUUUCAGUGUUUGGAUUAAAAAAAGGGGGGGGUCGGGGGUUCCCUCUUGGGGGUGGGUUUAGUAUUUUAAUGUUUUUUUACUUAAUAUUUCUUUUGUGUUUUUCACAUUCUUCUAUGUCUUAGAUUGACGUCUUCUUUAUUUUGAAAGUGGGUUACUCUCAGAAAUAAUUGAAAAAGUAAAUUAUUUUAGAUAUCUAUUUGAAAAGUUAGAAAAUCUUAAAUAUUAUUCAUUUUAAAUAAUAUUUUAUUAAUAUAAUUUUUAAUACCAUUAAUAGAAGGACUAUAUUCUGGUAUCAACCGAAAGGAUUAUAUUAUUGGACUAUUUUAAAUUUCCUAUUAUAUUGUUGUCGUCUAUUAUCAAUUUAUUUUAUCAAUAAAUCACUAUUUGAAAUUUUAUUAGUAUUUAAGUCUUUAAAUUCAUCUACACCUUUGACUUCUACUAUUAAUUUUCAUUUUCAUUUUUUUAAUGUUUAUAUAACUGGUACAUUGUUAACUUGUUUAUUUAAUAAACAUUAAGCAAUAUUUUUAAAUUAACUUUUUAAUUUAUUUUUAUAAAUUUAUCUAAAGUUCCCUUUUAUAAUUUAAUUAAAAUUUCAACUCUCUUUUUUUAAUUUCUAAUUUUUUUUAUUCAAAUUUUUUUAAUUGACAUUACUCUAAAUAACAUAAUAAAACAAUUUCCACAAUAAACACAAACAAAAAAAAAAUUCAAAAAUAAGAUAAUUGAUUAAAUAUAAAUGAUUUAAAUUAAAAGUAAAUAAAAUAAAAUUGCAUAAAUAAAAUAUAAUUUUAUCCUUUUACAAUGCUAGAGAGGACAUACACUUUAUCAUAGAAGUAACGAUUAAUUAAUGGAGAUGAUGAAUUAACAUAUUUUAUACUCUCAUAUACACAUUUUAGGUUGGAAAUGAUUUGAUAUAAUCCUUUAUCUAACCUGUUUAAAUUUUAAUGGGUUGAAUUUGUCGUUCAACCCACAAUUUCAUUGUCAAAAUUGACAGAAACCGACUUGUUUAUUUAAGGGUUGUGUUCGCGAUGUUUUAAAUAAAAAUUAUUUUUUUAUAUAUUUUUUAAGAUAUAAAAAAUUUAACCCAAUUCAAAUUAGAUGAAACACAUCAUAUAAUGUCUAAUAAAGUUCAUCAACACGACAUAACACUCGAUAAUAGUAUUAAAUUCUAAUAGUAUCAAUGUUAAAUUAUUUUAAAACAAUUAUUUUAAUUAACUCUUUAAUCAUAACAUUUAUUUAUUAUAUUUUUAUAAUACAUUAUAAUAAAUAUAUUAUAAAUAUUCUUAUUUUUAAUUAGAAAUAUAUAAUGAUAAGUUAAUUAAAUAAUUAUGGUUUGUGAAAAACAAAAACAAAAUCAACGUCAAAGUUAUAUGCUUCAACAAUUUAUAUAAUGACUCAUUUUUAAAUAAAAUAGCUUUAAAAAUUAAAAGUUUGAAAAAUAAUAGUUGAUAUAUUAUAUAUUUUAUUUAUUUUUAUGUUGACAAUAUAAAACAUAGACAUUAAUUUUAUUCUUUAACCAUAAUUUUUAUAAUAUAUUAAAAUAAAAAGUAGUUAAAAUUAACUAAUAAAAUUAAUUAUAAAUAGUUUAAAUAAUUUAAUUAUUAUCAAAUAAAAAUAUAUAAAAUAUUUAUUUAGUAAAGAAUAUUAAAACGAAUAACAAAUUAUAUGAGAUGAUAUGACUUUUUUAUAAUCUUUUGUUUUCUUAAGUUAAAUUAUUUAGUAGAUAAAAAAAAAAAUUAAAAUUGAUAUAUUUCUCUCUCUUCUUUAAAUGAUAUUUUUUUUUCUAUUUCUUACCUUUUAAUAGUUGGAUUAAUCAAAUGGUUUAAAAUUGCACAUGAGAGAGGGCAUAAGAGAAAAAAUUGGAGAGGAUCCAAUUCCGAUAAAAAGAUGUGGUAAAUUUAUGAGUAGUUUAAUAAUUUAUACAUAUUUUUAGCCUUAUUAAUUGUCACUUCGUUGAAAAAGAAAAAGGAAAUAAUAAUAAUGAUAGUGAUAAUAAUUAAAUAAUAUUGAAUUUUUUGACAAAUAAUGUUAUUAAAUAUUAUUGAAUAUAAUAGAUGAAAGAGAAAAAAAAAUGAAGAUCUUUGUCUGGCUUACCUCCUCGUUGAAUAGGGUAUGCUAACUAUUAAUAUGCCAAAGCCUCUUUAAAAAAUUAAACAAAUCAAUUAUAGGAUCCGAUAACUAUUAAGGAAUUUCUUAUGUCAUCAUAUGAAAUGGAAAAACUAUACAAAAUUUAAAAUAUUCAUUCAAGUUUAAAGAUGCAUCUUCGAAUACACAUUUGUAUCACCUUAUGACGCACUAAAUGAGCGACACCCUAAAGUAAAAUAAAAUCUUAUUCCAAAGAUACAUCUCUGAGUAUUUUGAACAAAUAUAUUGAUAUUUAAGCAAGCGUCCUCAGCAUGACCAGAUACCUGUAUCAUACACUCAGUUGCUGUCGUAUCUUGUCCAGUAAGGGGCAAUUGCGCCAAAAGAGAUUCCGCAUGCAACUCCUCCCUAAAAUCACAAGCAUAAUCCUAAUGUGCCUUGUUCAUUUCAUGUCGGAUACAUAGGGCAUUCUAUAGAGGAUUAUUUGGUCCUCAAGGCCAUAAUGCAAGAGUUAAUUGACCAUAAGGUUUUGUCAUUCUUUGACGCAUGACCCAAUGUCAUAAACAACCCGUUGCCAGACCACUGUGGACAAAUAGUGAAUGCAGUUAGUGGCGAAGAUUGCUCAGAUUCAGUUGCUUCUUCAGAGGAGUAUCGAUGCUAGCAAUAUCAUAUUGAUUCAAUCAUGUAUCAUUUGUAAUCCUUUCUUGUUUUUUAAAUGUUGUUCAUUUGUAACUUGUCUGGUUUUUCAGAUGAUAAUAAUAAUGAAAUAAACGUGCAUGUUUUGCUUAAAUCCAUUCGUGUCCACUCAUAUUUUAUUUUAUCAGUAUCAAACUGUUUGUCGAACAAAAUCAAAAGAGAAUGAUGCAAUUAAAAAUACGCAAGAUCGCUGCCUGUAUGGUUUUGAAUAAGAUCGUGCUGAUGAUGUAAGGCAUUGUUCAAUCCCUAAACACCGGAGAUAUAAGGAAGAUAAUCCCUAGUCAACCCCUUUGGGUAUUGUAAUAGGAGUUUCUUUCUUGAACACAUAAAACCCUCAUGCUUAACCAGGGGCAGAGUAUUCUUCAGUUAGUUUAGACUUGCAUUCAAAUUUAAGAAGGACAAUAUCUCAUCCAGUGAUCAAUCAUAUCAUAUCCCUCUCAAGAGGAUGGAAUCAUAAAUCCAGGAUGGUUAUCCCUUACCCAUCAAAAAGAGUGAGAUAAUCACGACUCGUGCAACAAAUCGAGAAAGCUGUGUCACAAGGUUUUCUCUAGUACAAAAAUAAAAGAUGAAACAAAAUUAAAAGCCCGCUAAGUCAAAAGCUUGAAAACAAGAUUGACUUAGGCAAAAGUCAGGGUAUCCCGGUGGGAUGCAGACCCAAAGGAUCAGCCUAGGAAAAAAUAAGGGUAAACAAAACAAAAGAAUUAGAGGAUCAAUACCAAAAUUCGUAGCGAGAGCAAAUCCCUGUGACUAUAAACAAAAGCAGAAGGCGAGUGGCUAUCGCUCUAAAUUCUCGUGGAUUCCUUAAACCAUCAUUGUUGAUAUUCAAAAUCCUUUCUGAAAGACGAACGCUUAUUUUAAGCUAAUUGAAUAUAGAACUAGAUAACAUCACACAGAAUGGGUGGGUUAGAAUAGGUUUUGAGCCUUAUAUCCUUUCUUUCUGAAACCGUGAACUAGGCCAAGUUACAACCCUCAAAAGACCUAAUUGAAGUAGGGUUUAUUUCAAAAGCAUACUAUGGUAAGAUCGCGUUAAGCUGACUCCUUAAGAUUUUCUUGUCAUAUGUUUGAUACUGAUAUGGCAUUCUAAACAGUGAUUUGUUCACUAGAUGUCAUAAUCUUAGUGAACACACUUGAGUUUUCAAAACUUGCAUGAGCAUGACAUUACAAUUAUCAUUUUAAAAAUGAGCGUUUUACAUGCGAACAUGCAUUUGACACCAAGGAAGCUUACAAUGGGAAAGUUGAUCAAAUUCCUAAUAUCCCAUAGCUCAAAUCUCUUCAAGAGCCCGUCAAUCUAAGGCACCAUGCCAAGAUUUUGCAAAUCUCUCUGAAUCAGCUGUAUAAGGGAAAAGUUUAAUUCGAAGUUCAUAUUGGGGAAGGCCACCUCAAGAGCAUGAGAAGUCAAUCACUCCUAAGAUAAUUAACUAGGAGGAUAUAGUUUCAAGAUGCUGGGGCAAGCCAGUUUGAGAUACUCAGAUGACGAGAUCACUCUAAUUUGUAAUUGGAGAAAUUGGUGCAGAUAUCCAAUACAUUGGGGCAGAGGCAGGCUACGCAGGUACAAGCUCUCUCCAUGUUCUAGACAUAAUCCAGAGGUGUGACAACAAUUUUUCAGCUUGAAGUAGGUUCGAAGAAUCACGUCUGGAGGAUACCAUAUCCUAGCCAAAAAUUUCCACCUCCCUCUAUAUGAGCACCUGGAUUAACCAUUGCAUAAAUCAUUAUCAUGAAUAAAUCACGUCGCUUCACUCAUGCAUACCAUUCAUCUAUCAUAGCAUGAAGCCGUGUGUGAGAAUCAAAGGAAUUAAAGCCCAGUAUUUUAUUGGCAUCUCCAAAUUCCAAACUUGCCUGGUACCUUUUUAAACCAUCUAGUUUGACAAUUCUUCCAAAAUCCAAUUUGCUUGGCGUCUUUUAAGCCCAGUUUGCUUGGUAUCUUUUUUCGACCUUUAGGGUCGAUGAUCCUCUUUUCCAACAUUCAUGGUUGAGGAACCUUUUUUCAAUCUUCAGGAUUGAUAACCUUUUUCCAAUCUUUAGGGUUGACGAUCUUUGUUUCUAACCUUCAUGGUUGUUGAAUCUUUUUCCCACCAUUAGGGUGAUGAUAGACUUUGUUUCCGGCCUUUAAGGUUGAUGAUCCUCUUGCUUUCAACCUUUGCGGUUGUUGAAUCUUCUUCCAACCAUCAUGGUUGUUGAAUCUUUUUCCUACCUUUGUGGUUGUUGAAAAUUUUUCCAAACCUUCUUGGUUGAUGAACUUUUUCAAUCUAUGUGAUUGACAAACUUUUUUCCAAACUGUAAGGUUGAUGACCUUUCUUUUUUUCAAACCUCUGUGUUUGACUUUGUUUCCAGUUUUUGAACUGAUGAUUCAUUUGUGAAACCCCUUGUUUGCAAGAAUAUUUUGGAACUUUCAUGCGCUCUUUGAUUAGCAUACAUGGCCACAUGUUUCAAAAAUGAUAAAAAAAAAUACAAUUUAGCAUGCAUAUCAUGAUCGUCAUUUGCCAUUAAUAUCCCCACAGUACAUCAAAAUCACCAGCAAAUAAACCCGUAAAAAAUCAAGUUGAUAUCCCUAUAUCUCAUACAAUUGUCCUUCAAGGAAAAAAAUUCGGAUACUUCGAUAUUUAAUCCACGCAUACCUUAAAAAGCUGAAAAGCUCUCGCAAUUCGACCAUUCAGGUCUAAGCUGAUUAAAUAGGGGCAGAUGUCGUAUCCUAAAUUUGUCCUCCCUAUUUCAUCUUUCCACUCAAUUUAUCAACUUGAGAUUCAUCUGUACCACAUUCAUAUUUCAUUCAUAUGCAUCAUUCAUUAAUCAUACAUUCAAAGCUUGUGGCCUGCAAAUCUAAGGUUUGUUGAUGGGACAUGGCUCUUCAUAGGCUCAUCAUGUGAGGGGAAACCCUAAUUUCAUACUCUUUUAGACUUUGAUUCAAAAAGGUUACAAUCACGACAUUCAUUUAGUCAUUCAAACCCUUAUUCCUGACUUUGUUGUCUUUCGGUCUCACAAGCUUUCACCUGUGUAUCAUGAAGCCCUAAUCAGGGAAGAUUUGGUCCGGUUGCACCUUAUGGCUUGACUUUUCAUCUUGUGUGUGCUGGAAACCCUAAUUCAUUAGGGAGAGGUGUUUGACUAUCCUAUUAUGCAUGCCUACUGGUUUGGAAUUGCACAUGAUUCAGGUCUUGUUUCAAGCAUCCCUAUGCCCAUCACAUUUAACUUUGCAUAGGCCAUUAACUCAAGUCUUUUGGUAUGGGCAAAUGCAUAGACCCAUAUGCCCGAUUCACUUCAUUCAUAUGAUGCAGAUGAUCAAGGAUGAUUGGUCCAUUUAAGAUUUGGUUCCAUUGGUUCAUUCUUUGUUUCUUAAGCAAAAUCAUUAUUUCAUUUGAAUUAUGUCAUGUGAAAACCCUAAUUCAAAUUUCACAGUUGACUUCGAUUAACUAGUUUACCAAAGUCAACCAUCCCUUUUUGAGUCCAUUAAACUUUUUCAUUAAUCAUUCACACUUAAUCACAUUUUUCGAGCUAUUUGAUGCAUCCAAUUCAUUCAAUUUUCAAAUGUAAUUUUGACCAUUCCAAACAUUUUAACCAUUCAAGGUUAACAAUUUAAGUUCUAUAAACCAUCUUCUUUUACAAUAUAUUUCCACUCAUAAACUUUCCAUAAGCAUUCAAAAUUUUCCAUCAUAAAUAUCAUUCAAUACAAUAAACUUGUCCAUGGUUCGCGCAUUUAAUCCUUUCUUUCCAUCAUUUAUUUGCAUUGCAAUUCUAUUCAUCCAAAGUAUCAAACUUUUCAUAAUCACCAAGUUCCAUUCCAAUACAUUCAAGUUUUACCUACAACUUUCCUUUACAAUUAUUACAAACCAUUGUUUUACAUUGUUACACUAUGUAUCAACCAUAUCCUACAUAACCAUAUUAACCAUUCCAAAUGAUCAAGCAAGAUAGAAUUUCAUUCACUAACCAUACAAGAUAUCUCAAGCAUACAUUUCCAUUUCAAGCUACAUUAUAAUGCAUCAUAAUCCAACAAUAUCAUGAAGCAGCCCAUGGCCUCUUAUGCAUUCACUAGAAAUAUUUCCAUAGCACAAAUUGGCCAUGUCCCAAAAGAUAAUGCACAAAAAAAGCAUGAAAUAUCAUGAUUCUGUUAGGCUCUGUUUUGAAAUUAUUUACCUGAUGAACAACAGACAUAAAUGCCGAUCGAGGUUAUAUGGAAGCUUCAAAUACUGAAAAAGAAAACACACCCAUUGCAUUGAUGGCUACAGCUCUUCCUUUGAAACGCCAUUGAAGCUUCAAUUCGUGGAGCUUAAACCACUGCACCUCUUCGACCUCACGCGGAAAACGCAACAACAGCAUAUGCUUAGAAGAACAGAGGGAGAGGAAUAAGAUUGCAGCAACAUAACAGAAAGAGUGAAGGAACAAAAUUGAGACGAAGAAAAAGGGAAGAGAUCGGUCAAUACCUGUUCGCAGUUGAAGCAUCAAAUUUGGUAAGUCCUUUUGAUUUUCUUUUCUUUCUGUUUAAGUCCGCGAGCACAAUGUUGGAUGGAAUCACAUGUCGAUGAGGUUGAACACAAUCCAUGAACUCUAUUAUCUGUUAGAAUUAGAAUAUUAGGUUAUUAAGUGACAAUUAGAAAUUGUGAUUUAAUUAGAAUUCUAGUAUUGAUAGAUUUUGGAUUUUCAUUAGAAUUAAUUAGAAAUUUUAGAAUUUAACUAGGGUUUUAGAAUCUAUUUUAGACUAAUUAGAUUUUCACAUAAUUAUAUAUAAUUAUAAUUAAUUAGUUUUUGAUUAAAUGUUGAUUAUUAGAAACUAUUUUCCUAAUUAAUCCAUUUAUGCAUAUUGACUAUUUUACCCUUUAGAGGUUAUGUUUGUCAUUUUAGCCAUAAGGACAUGUUCCUUUAGGUUUAGAUCUUGACAUCAAUUUUUAAUCAAGUCUUGACCAAUUAUAUCAUGAUCCCUUAGGAUAGUUUGUAACAAAUUCUAACCAUUAGAUUAGGAUUUAAUCUAGUUUUCAAACUAAUUCAAACCUUCUGAUUCAAAUUGAUCAAAAGCAAUUUUGAUCAAUUAAAUCAUUUGAUAUUGUAUAAUCCCACAGUCUAAUUUGAGUGACACAAAUACUCUUGGUCACCUAAUGAGACUUUUUCGGUAAGUUGUGGAGCUCGAGGCCUCAAGUCAUAUUUUCAAUCAAGGCAUCAUCGGUCAGACCAAGCAGUGGAUAAUACAAGGUACAUCAAAGGUGGCAUCUUUGAGAGCUUGUCAAAUCAAAGUUAUGAUUGUGUGGCAUGAGCCUUGAGUAAUGAAGAAAGAAUGAGACUGAAGAAUUCCUACCCCCAUCAACACAAAGGGCAUCAUGUCAGCAACUUGUUAAUUUUGAUUCAAGUUGCAUGCCAUGAGCCUUAAGAAACAAAGAAUGAUGAGAGUGGGGAAUUCCUAUCCUUGUCUAGAAUAUUCUUGGGUACGGGACGAAUGACCCAGUUGCUCAAAGUAUUCGCCUUUUUCCAUAGACUUUGGUGCAAUUUAAAUCAUGCAAUUGACAAGCCUUCUUCUUCAAGCAAGCAUCAAUCAUUCAACACUUCAAUAGUGAAACACCAUUACCCCCUUUAGUAUUGGACUUUCCUCCUGGAUGUUCAUACAUUUCUUGGGAUUAUUACCUUGGGGUCACAUACCCAUCUCGCAAUCAAUUGCUUCAUGCAUUGCCUAUCAGUUCACACUAUGGCAUACUUCAUUGCUUGCCCUCAACGUACAGACCCUGACAUUCAGCCUAUGGAGUACAUACUCUGGCUUUGUUUCUUCCCCAUAAGGUACAGACCUUGGCAACUUCUUGCAGCCCAUAGAGUAUAGACUCUGGCUUUAUUCCUUGCCUACAACAUACCGAUCUUGGCAUCCUUGCCCUAAUGAGUUCAGACUCUGGCCAUCUGAUUUUGUCUAUACAGUACUGACUUUGACAUAUUAUUAUGCCUUAUAGUUAAGACUUUGGAAUUCAUUCAUCCAGCCCAUUGGGUUCAGACUUUGGCAUCGUACUAUUUUGCCCUUAUGGAGUUCAGACUCUGGCAUUCAAAUCAGUUCAUUUGCCUUAUAUAGUUCAGACUAUGGCAUGCUUAUACAUCUUGCCCAUGGAGUUCAGACUCUGGCAACCUUUAACAUUGUCUUGAAGUCAGACUUUAGAAUUAUAUCUCCUUUUCCCUUAUUGAGUUCAGACUCUGAGAAUCUGUUCCUUGCCUUUGUAUUAGUUCAGACUAUGGAAUUCAUCUAUCUUGCCUUGUGGAGUUCAGACUCUGGCUAUAUCUCAUUUGUCCUUAUGGUUGAUUACCAUCUUUGGUAAGUGUCAUACUCUCGCUUAUUAAGCAAUCACCUUGCCUCUGAGCAAUCCUAUCAAAUCUCCCUUUGCUUUCAGUUGUAGUAGGCUAAACUACGAUUGCUCUGAUUUUCUCAUUGCACGAUGAGAAUACAUAGGCACAAGGGUUCAAAUCCUCCGUGAGCAUACUUAUUUAUUACUCCUACCUUAGGGCAUUUCUCCAUCCAUCUCCAUGAUACAGUCAUAUACUACCUUUAUUCACUUCAUGUGAUAUACCCUAUUCUUUGAGCCAAAUACAUUAUACCUUUGUGCUCCAUCUUGUACCCCUUUGUGAACCAAGAGAUGUUUCUGUUGUGAAACCAAAAUUAAUUUCCUUUGUUUUCGGCUAUACCAUAUAGUGGCGAAUGUUCAGACAAUCCAUAUAUCGGUUUAUUCCAGUUUUACUCUUGGGUUCACGCUUUCACCCCUUGUUGGGGUUCAAAAUAUUAUCCUCUGGUUCAGGCCAUACCUUGAUCACAACUUCCUUUUCAUCUCCCACCACUAGUUCUUUGAACUACGAAGUUAUGAAUUCCUCAUUGCACUAUGAGUAUACAUAGGCAUGAGGGCCCUAAUCCUCACCGAGCACUCUAUCUAUUUCUUUUCAUUUUCCCCAUUCUUUUGCGAGUAAUCUUUAGAUACAACACUCAUUCGAGCGAGAACAAUCAAAACGGUUCCCAUGGAGUACCAUAGAUGUUAGGGAUGCUAAUACCUUCCCAUUGCAUAAUCAACUUCCUUACCCAACAUAUCUCUUUCCCCUGGGUUUUAUCGAUGUGUUCGGGUAUAUUUCCGCUAGCUGCAUCACCAACUCCAAAAUCUCAAAAAAGUGUUUUUAAAGGAACUCGCAUUAGCAAACCACCUCCUUCACCGUCUCUACCAAAAAUUUCAUUCAUUGACGAGAUGUUAUUUUUUUCAUAAAUACAUCGAACAAAUCGUCAAUGUUGAGGGUGACGGUAAUUGCGAUUUUCGAGCUAUUUCGAUUUUGCUGGGUAAAGGAGAAGAUGAUCACACACUUGUCUGCCAUCAACUUAUCCAUGGUUGAGGACCCAUAUAGAAUUAUACACACGACUUUACCGAAAGAAACAAAAUUUUGAUGCAAUUUAUGAGUCUUUUAUUCCUUGCAUUAGUGGUCCGAAACCAGAGGAAAAAUGAAUGUGCUUCCCUGAAAUGAGUCAUCUCAUAGCAAGUGCAUCUGAUAAAGUGUGUAUUGGUCUUACAAGAUACGAUUUUUUGGAAACUUUUUUUCCACUGCGCACCACCCAACCUCAAAAUCUAAAUGAUCGUAUUUUGUGUAUUAGAAUACCUUUAAAAUUACGACACUUUGUUCAAAUUUAUUUGAAACGGGAUGUCGUAUACCACUUACAUCAGUGGAGUGGACAACUCAUUCAACAAUAAAAUCCGGGACUUAGACGGGCCAAUUUAUGGAAAAGAUGCAAGAGUUUACCAAAUUGAGCGACAUUGAAAGUGAAUAUAAUGCACAAAAGUCAAAGGGGGAACCACUCAUACUUAUAAAUUUAGCCAUCGACAAAUAUUUCGAUUCGUUUUAGUUUUUCGUUAUCAAUUAAUUGUAUAUAAUUUUGUAUUAAUAGUAAGGGUUAAUAACAUUUUUAUAGAAACAUUCUAGUUGUACCUUGGGGGGAAUGACCCAUGAUUGAUGCUUACGUGUCAUGAUAAAUAUCAUGAUAUAUUUUAGUUUUUAGUUUUUUAAUUACAUAUAUGCUUACGUGGACUUACAGUUUUUUAUUUAUGAAUUAUUUCUAUUUUCAUGUGAAAAUUUAUUUUCUUUUUCAUUUAUUUUAAUCAUAACAAUUAUCAAAACUACUUUAAGAAAGUUCUAAAAUUUUGUCAACAAUGAAAUUCUCAUACGGAUUUGGCAAGGAACUUUGAAAGGAGAUUUGAAAGCGUGAACCACAACCAUAGAUAGGAAGAAGGAGAAUUAGGGUUCAACAUAGUUUGAACCGUGUUUAUGUUUAUGUUAGGGACCGAUUCGGGCUAGACCCAAUCUAGGUUCGGUUGAUCCACUAACCAUUAGUUUUUUUUUUAAAUUAUUUUGUGAGUAUACCAUUUGUUGUUUGGCCUUACCUAUUUGUGACUUGGGCAAACCCCACUUUAGGAGCCAUCUUGUCUUAUUUAUUUAUUUAUUUUUGUCUUUUCCUCAACCUUUUUUAUUGCAUUAAUAUUUUAGUAAAAGAAUAUAUAAAAAACAUAAACUUUUUCAUGAAAAAAAAGGUGGUUUACAAUUUUAUAAUAAUUGAUUUUUAUUGUUAUUUCAAUUUUUUUAUCAAUAAAUAAAUAAAAGUAGACAAAAUUUGUUUGAUGCGUGCCUUAGGGUUUCUUUUUCCUAUCAAGCUAUAUCUCAAAAGAAGAAUAUUUCUUUAAGAAUUAUUCCUUUUUUUAAAAAUAAAUUUGAUUCCAUUAUGGUUUGAUUUGUUUGAUCUUUAUUGAUUGUGUGAAUGCUUGUAUUGUUCAUACUUGAUCCAUGAUUUAUGUAACCUUUCACUUAGACCUUCGAUUGUUAGUAAGAUAAAAGUAAAUGUGCAAUAAAAUCAACCUUUUAAAAUAAGAUUCAAACACUCUAUCGAUAUGAAUUUGGUUUUAAAAAGAUCUCACUAUUUUCACCAUCCAUUCAAAGUUAAUUUCAAGUCAUCUCACAAAUUAUUUUCAUGCUAACACGAAUAAACCCUCGAUCAACAUCGAGUUUCUUUUUUGCUUAUUAAAAACUUGAAAAUCAUUUUCAUAAUAAAUCAGUUGAAAAAGGAAUGGGAGGCGCACACAUCUCUACUCCUCGAAUAAGUGAGUGAUUGGUAGACUCCAUAUUGCUCUAACUUUCAUCUUCCGAAUAAAAUAUCCUAAAUAAACAUGGAUGAAAAAGGAAGAGAGGCGCACACAUCUCUACUCCUCGAAUAAGCAAGUGGAAGACACACACCUCGCUACUGCGAAUAUUUUUUCUUCCGCAAAUAAUUUUCAAAAUAUUAAAAUCAAACAAAAAAGGAAUGGGAGGCGCACAACUUGUUGCUCCUCGAAUAAGUGAGUGAUUGGUGCGCGCCAUAUUGCUCGAGCUUUCAUCGUCUUCCUACAAAACACUAAACCAAUCAAACCUAUUUUCUCGCCCCCUUCGUUCAUCCCAAGACGAUGUAAACACGCUUCAUUUCUACCAUGCGCAAGAAGUUAUAACUCUUUUCGCUCGAAUGUGACGAGAACAAAUUUGUGAGAAUCUGGAUUAUGUUAUUCAUUCUAAUGUGAUGCCAAUGUUCACUUCUCCAUGUUUUUAGUAGCAAAUAAUGUUUUCGCUCGAAUGCGACUAAGUACCUUUCGUAAAAACUGAUCAACAAACAAAAAAUUUCUACCCAGAACUACGUAGCCUUGAGUUUUUCAUCGCACCUGAGAUAUGUAGAAGCGAGACCCGUAAUCUCGUCAGGCACAUUAAUAAAAGAAAACAUUUUGCGACCCAUUUUGUUUUCUCUUUACACUUUUGACCACUCGAAGAAAACAUAUGACAUAAGCUAAAAUUUCAACCACAAAUCUAACUAAAUGGUUCCCGUUGAGUGUAACAGAUGUGAGGGGUGUUAAUCCCUUCCCCUCGCAUAAUCGACUCCCAAACCUGAAUUUGAUUGUGACAAACAUUUUCUUUUUCUUUUAAGGAUUUUAUCAAUAUUUCCCCUCCUUUUUGGAAUAAAUCAAUUUUGAUGGUGACUCUGUUAUCUUGACCAUGCAAGCGCUCAUGGUCAUUUUUCGCGUCGCGACACUACUGUACAAUAGUUAUCUGUAUCAAAAACUAAAAUAUUUGUGUCUGUAUCUUGUUGUCUAGGAUUGUUGGAAACGAGAAGGAUGGAAAAAUAAAGUGUGUUUAUUUUUCUAUGUUGUAAAAUCACAAGGUGGUUUUUCUUGGUGAUUAAGUUAGAAUCUUGUGUAUAGAAUCUAGGUUUAGGCUUGUACAAAAUAAUAACAAUAUUGAAAUCUCUUAUAGUGUCUAAGGGGACUGACAUACUCUCAGAUUGUGAUGGGAACUAGUAUGAUUUUCGAUGUUAUUUACUUUAUGCACUUUACUGCUUUCACCACCUAACCAUAAACCAAAAAAUAAAGAAACAUUCAUCUCUAAAAACAAUGUACUUACAGCGAGAGCAUGAUAUUCCGCUUCAGUACAUGAACAAGACACAAAAUUUUGUUUCUUUAAGCGCUAUGAAAUCAAGGAGUUACCCCAUAACACAUAAAUGCUAGUGUAUAUUUCCUAGUAUCCAGACAACGUGCCCAGUCGAAGUCAGCAAAACCAUGCAGCUUUAAGGAAUUAUUGCUGGCAAAAAAAUGCCUCGAGUAGGAAAUGCCUUCAGAUACUUCAAAACUCGAGUGGCUUCCUAACGGUGAGGAACCAAGGGGUUAGCCACAUAUUGGCUAAGGUGACGGACAAUAAAAGAAAUACUUGGCCGUGUGUUUGUAAGGUAAAGUAGCCUGCUAAUUAAUUUACAAUAUGAAGAAGGGUCCUCUAAAGGAGUACCUUCACUAGAUGAGAGCUUCAUGUGAGGAUCAAUAGGUGUGGAGACAAGCUAAGCCCCAAGAAAACCAGUGUCCUCAAGCAGCUAGAGCAUGUAUGUUCUCUGGCUGAGAAAGAUACCAGAAGUAGAACGUGCAAUUUUGAGGCCCAAGAAGUACCUUAGUUGACUGAGAUCUUUAAUGCAAAAUUGUUGAUGCAGGAAAGACUUUACUUGUUUAUUCCACAAUCGAGUCGCUUGUCAAGACAAUAUCAUCAAUGCACACUGAUAAGGAAGUGAAACCAUGAGGUGUGAUCUUGGUGUAUAAUGAGUGACCAACAACAGAUUGAGAGUAGCCUAAUGAAAUGAGAGCUGAAGAAAGCUUAGAAUGCCAUUGUCGACUGACCUGUUUCAGUCCAUACAAUGAUUUUUUUAAGUGUACAAACCUUGUUGGAUUCAAGAUUACCAUAGCCAAGAGGAAGAGACAUAUAUACUUCUUUAUUUAGGUCUCCAUGAAGGAAGGAGUUUUUAACGUCCAGUUGCUCAAGGUGCCAGUGUUUGACAGCUGCAAGAGAUAAAAGAACACGAACAAUAGUAAUUUUGGCAAUUGGGAAAAAAGUAUCAAAGUAAACUACAUGUUCUAAUUGAGUGUAACCCUUGGCUACCAACCGGUCCUUGCAUAUAUCAAUAGAGCCAUUGGCAUGGUACUUGACUUUGUAUAUCCAUUUACAACCAACUGGAGUUUUGCCUAGAGGAAGGUCCACAAUGGUCCAAGUUUGAUUGUCCUUAAGAGAUGCAAUUUCAGUAUCCAUGGCCUACUUCCAACAGUCAUGUUUAGAGGUAUGAAGAUAGGUUUUUGGUUUAAAUAUGGAUGAAAUAGAGCAACAAAAGGAUUUGUAAGUUGGAGAGCAUUUUUUAUAUGAUAUAAAGUUGGAGAUAUGGAAGGUAGUGGAAGAGGAGUUAUUUAUAGAGGCAUAUCUAUUUGAUGAAAGAAAGAGAUUACAAUAAUAGUCUUUGAGAAAACUAUGAGGGUGUUUGGUUCUCAUUGAUUUUUGAGUUAGUAGUGUGGAUUGGUUUUGGGGAAUGUCUGAGGGAGGGUUAGAAUUAUGUGGAUACAUGUUAUCAACUAAGGUAUCAUGAAGGAUGUUGGGUUCAAAGUCAAUAACACUAGGAUCUUGGGUACUUGGUGAUGGAUUAAAAGUAGUUUGAUAUGGACUUGAGGUACUAGAGUCAAUCAAAGUAGGUUGAUUGAGACUUGGAAGGUUAGGGAUAAGUCCUGUUUCAGAAGUAAUAGGAUAAUCAUAAGAAUUUGUGACUGGUGUGACAACAGUAGAAGGAGUGGACAUAUGAGGCUCAGGGGUCAGAGUGAGGGCCUGAGGUGUAACAUAGUCAAUGUCAUAGGUGAUGUCCAUCAAGCUAUGAAUAUAAGUAGGGAGAUUUGUGGCAUUACUUUUGAAUGGAAAGGUGGUUUCAUAAAAGAAAACAUUUAGAGAUAUGAAUAAGUUAUGAGACUGAAGGUCAUAGAGAAUAUAACCUUUAGUACCAUCUUUGAAACCAAGGAGAAUGGCUUUUCUAGCCCUACCAUUGAAUUUUGUUAUGUGGGUCUGUAAAGUUGUUGAAAAACAUAAACAAACAAAGACUUUCAAAUGAACAAUAAUAUAUUAAGUUUUGAAAAAGCAACUCGUAUGGAGAUUUUGACUGAAGUUGAGGACUAGGGAUCCUAUUAGUCUUGUGGACAACAUGUUGAAUACUGAAGUUCCAUAGGUUUAAAGGAAUAUGUGUUAAUGUUUUCUCUCAACCACCCCAUUUUGCUGUUUUUGUUAUAGUGGUGGUGGUGGUGUGUGUGUGGCGGGGGGGGGGGUGUUCUACACAAGAUUUAUGGCGACUUAUGCCUUUGGAAGGGAAAAAGGAACUAAGAGUUAGGAACUUUGAACCCUUAUAUGACCUAAAGCAUUUAAGAGUGGUUUUGAAUUUAUUUCCUAUUGAGGCAAUAAAAUGUAUUACACUUUGUUUUGUUUCAGAUUUUUCCUUAAUAAAAUGACCCAUGUAAACCUUGAAAAUCCAUCAAUAAGAGUUAAGAAAUAUUUAUAGCCUAAAAUAGAAUCAGUAGAAAAGGGCCCCCAUAAAUCAACAUGUAAAAGUUCAAAUGGAGCAUGAGUAUGAGUAAGACUAUUUAGAAAGGGGAAUUUCUUUUGUUUUGCAAAAUGAAACGAAUCACAAGGGUUCAUGUUAUUUUUACAAGGGAUGGGGGGAAAAUGUUUAGCCAUAGUUUUCAUACUGAAAUUAGAAAGGUGGCCUAGUCUUAGAUGCCAAAGUUCAAAGGAAUUAGAAAUAACAUAAUUACUAGUGGAAUAAACAUCACUAAUAUCUAUCACAUAGAGGCCUCUGUGCCAUUUAGUUGUACCAAGCAUUUGCUUUGGAUGGUUCUGCAAAAUAUGACACAAGUUUGAAGAAAAUUUCAGAUAGCAAUCAAUAUUGCUAGUCAAUUUUGUGACUAAGAUUAAAUUAACAUGAAAGUUAGGAAUAUAGUGAAAAUUGUAAAGAGUUAAGGAAAGGGAAAUGACAAUGUUUCUAGAUAUGCAGGCAGUCAUGUGAGAUUCAUUUGGUAAGGAGAUUAAGCUAUUGAUUAACUUAACUCACAAAGAAAGAGUCGCCACAACGCUUUUAUUAUUUCCAAAGAAAAUAGAAAAAGAACGAACCAAACCCAAAGAAGUUUAAAAAAAACUAAUAAAAACAAAGAUAAGGGUCCAGGGGUUGGUUAUGUACAGGGAAGAUACUAGCACCCUAAGCAUCUAUAGUACUCUACAGGAACAUCUUUGAAAAUAUGUGCAUUUAGAUUUAAAAUGGUGUUGUUUACAAAAGAUUAGGGAGAUGAAAAGAGAUUUUUUUUUUAUAAUUUUUGUGUUUGCCAAGACUUUCUGAACCUCGUGCCUACGUACCCAUAAAGUGCAAUGGCGAAUCAAAACCUCGUAGUUCGUGGUAAAAAUAACAAAGAUGUUUGCUUUGAUUCAUUUUUAAUGAAUUUUUUUUUGUCAUUUUAAGAAGAACAUUCAACUAGCCAUCCACAAGUAUGGGAACUUUGCAUCACCAUGAGAAGGACUCUAACUUGGAUAAAUAUCAACUAGCUCUCUUAUAUAGAAAAGAAUUAUUAUCAAUACUAUGGGGAUAGAAAAAUUAUAUAUCAACUAUGGAAAUGACUCGUGUCUAAACUUUGAGAAAAAAGUUUUAAAAAGGAAAAAAAAAAGUGCACAAAGGGCACAAAAAGGUUUGAAUGAGUUAUGCAUUUUUAGUUUUUUGAAAUUGGUUUGAAUAUGAUUAAGAUGUAUUAGAAUUUAUUAAUAAAAGAUUUUGAAAAGAAAUCACUUGAAAAAAGUCAAGGUUUAUUGAGGAAGUAGUUCAAGUUUGAAAACAAGAAUGUUUUGAAAAAAAGAGAGAAGAUUUUGAAAAUCAAAGAAGGGGAGGAGAGGAAGAGAUUAUCCUAGAACAUAAAGUAAAAGCUAUGGAGGAAAGAUCCAACCAAGAGAUAACAACAAGAAUUCACUCCUUUGGAUUAAGCCUUAAGCAAGUCAAAUAAGCAAAGAAUAUUCCAUGUAUCAGAUGAAACCAAAGUAGCCAAGCAAAAUCUUCAAAAGAAUCUCAAAGUCAAAGGUAGCAGAUGAAUCUCAAGGUCUCAAAUCAGAAACUCCCAAAAGAUAAACAAGUAUGCCACUAGUUCUCUUAGAUGGAAAAUAAUUAUCAUCAAUACUAUGGGUAUAGAAUAAUUACAUCUCAACUAUGGAAAUGACUCAUGUCUAAACUUUGAGAAAAAGUUUUAAAAGAAAAAGUGCACAAAGGGCACAAAAUAGUUUGAAUGAGUAAUGUAUUUUUUAAGUCUUUUGAAAUUGGUUUAAAUGUGCUUAAUAUUUAUUAGCAUUUAUUAAGAAAAUAUUUUGAAAAUCACUUGACAAAAGUCAAGGUUUAUUGAGAAAGUGAUUCAAGUUUGAAAACAAGAAGGUUCUUGAAAAAAAAAGAGAAGAUUUUGAAAAUUAAAGAAGGGGAGGAGCUAAGAAGAUUAUCCUAAAACAUAAAGUAAAAGUUAGGGUGAAAAAUCUAACUAAGAGAUAGCAAGCUUUAUGACAUGUGUUAAGUAAGAACACUCUCCUUUGGAUUAAGCUUCAAGCAAGUCAAACAAGCAAAGAAAAAUCCAUGUGUCAGAUGAAACCAAAGUAACCAAGGAAAUUAUUUAAAGUAAUCCCAAAGUCAAAGGUACCAGAUGAAUCCCAAGGUCUCAAACUAUAAACUCCCAAACAAGGGUCAAAAUUCUAGUUCUAACUCCGUAACUCCAUAAUAAUCCCAAUGAUAGUAACCUCAAGUCCAUGAAUUAAGAGAACCAAUUUUUAGGGGUUUUUUCCUUUAUUAAUGUAUUUAAAAGAAAAAGAAGUCUAAAUGGACAAAGAAAAAAAGGCAUAAACAUAAACAAAGGUCCAAGUGGACAAAUAGAAAAUAGCAUAAAUACAAACAAUAUGAUAUGCGAUGCUAAAAUAAAAUCAUAAAGUUAAUAACAAGAAAUAAAUGGCAAAAAAAUAAAGAGCAUAAGAUAAAUGGCAUUAAAGUAAAUUUAAUAUAAUAAUAUGUUAGUAAGUUGUGUUAGUAAUAAAAAAUUGAAAGAUAAUUUAUCAUUUUUGGGAGAAUACUCAACUAUUCGCCCACAAGUAUGAAAAUGUGGACCUCUACAUCACCAUGAGAAAGACUCCAACUUGGAUAAAAUCAAUAAGUAUGCCACUAGUUUUAUUAGGUGAAAAGGAAACAAUAUUUUUCACACAAUACCAUGGGGAGUAGGAGACUUACAAUCUCACUUAUGAAAAUGACUUACUUUCGGAUUCAGGAUAAAUUUAACGUUAUGUUAAGCAAUCGUAAUUGGACUCAUGUUGAAGUCACAACUAUCUGAGCCCGGUCAAUAAUAAUAUUUAUGUUAAUACAUGCUAGAGAAAUUAUAUGUAAAUCAUUCUCCUAAAGAUAUGCCACACAAAAAAAGGAUGGAUCAAGCACAAAUGUUAAGAGAGUUGUUCAUUACAUCAAUCAAUACUUCAUGAUACUUAGGACAAGCUUAUGCAUCAAUCUAAAGUACCUUAAAUAUUCUAUGAUCAAUUAGGAGGUAGAUUUGAAGUGAUGAAAGUUCAUCAAGUACCAAUUCAUACAUCAUAAACAAGAUGAACACAAACCAUCCAAUUGAUCAAGAGAAAAAAGGAAGCGAAAGAGAUUAAGAAGAAGAAGAAGACGAGAGAAACCAAACUCAAAUUGGAUCAAAGGAUUGAUCAAGUCAUCAUCAAAAUCAAUCAUCCAUCUUGGUAGAUUUGGGUUUUCACCCCAUCAACACCGAAGAUCCAUUGAAUUUGAUGAGAUUUAUGAUCAAAAUAGCCAAGAUCCAAGGUCAACAGAAGUCAACAAAGGUCAAACAAGCAUAAAAUGAAAGAAAAUAAAAUAAAAUGCAUCAAAAAUAUUUUUUAAAUGAAUUUUAAAAGGCAAAUAAAACAAAAAAUUCCAUAAAACCCUUUAAAAUACCAAAUAAAUGGCCAAGAAAAUUAUGGAAGGUUGAAGAUAAAAUAAGGAACAUAAAAUAAAUUUUUCAAAUAUUUUUAAUGCAUAAAAGUAUUUUUAAACUAAUUAAAAAAAGGGGAAAAAGAGGAAAUCCAAGAAAAUAAAAUAUGGAAAAAUAAAAAUCAGAUGAAGAAAAAAAAAAGAAAAUUUUAGAAAAUAUUUUGGGAUUUUUUGGAUAAAAAAUGAAUUUUCUAUAAAUUUUUAAAGAAAAUGCAAUUUAAAAUAAAAAAUAAAAAGAAAUAAAAAACAGAAAAAAAUAGAGGCAUUGGAUCUGACCUCAUUAAUUGACGUGGCAAAUCCAACAACUAUCAGGCUAGGGCGCAUGGUGGAAAAUAGUUAGAAUAAAACAUGGAAUCACAUUCAAAAUGGACCAAUCAAAACAUUUCAAAAUGCCAACGUGGAUAGCCAACUCAGAUGGCCUGAAACAAAUCCAUUCAUCUUCUUCGGUAAUCCCUCAUCGGAGUUUCAUCAUUUGACAAAGUAAGAACAUGAGACUACCACCAAUGUGAUCGUCUCCUCAUCACGAAUUCAACCUAAUGCUCAAAAUUAAUUUAUCUAAAUUGAGUAUGGAGAAUUUCAGAGAAGUUUUAGAAACAAGCAAGUCACAAAAAGUAAAAUUAAAUGAUGAACAUUAUCACUCAACACCAGAUAAGUUAGGGGAAAGCAUAAGAGGGUGAAGGACUACAUUGUGGUAACUCGUUUGAGUUCAAAUGAUGCUCAAAACUACCUUGUCCAAAUGUAGAUCGGAGGUUGAAGAAGCUUGAUCUGGUCAGGGCACUUCAGAAGGUCUUACAGAUUGAGAAUUAUUGCAAAAUCUUCAUAGGAGACUGAAAGUUUUAAUUGAAUCAAGAAAUUGAACUGAAACAAGCUAGAAAUCAAACACGAUAGCUCAAUUUUCUAGAAAUGUUUAAUAGUGGAGCAGGGGUUUUUUAGCUCUCCAAAGCUUGGGAAUAAGGCAAAUAUAUUGCUCUAUUUAUAGGGAAGUGAUUGGUGAUCUCAUACGUGCCAAAUGAUGCUUAAUUCGUGCAAAACAAAUUUGCUCAUGAUGUGAGAAAAGUGUGACUUGUAAAACCAUCAAAACUCAGCCAAAUUAUGCAUUAAAUGAUUCAUUUAACUUUUGAAGACUUGAUUAAUCAUGUUUAGGUCCAAAACGUGUGGUAAAUUGGCUUGUAAUUAAGGAUUAGUGAAGUUCAAAAUUCUGAACAUGGUGAUUUCUUCAGUUCCAAGUUACCAUGUUUAAUUCAAUGGGGCAUCUUGCCUAGGAGGCUUUUUGAUCUCAUUUUUCUUGCAAUUUUUGGACAUCAUAUCAAAGAUUACAAUGUGCCAAGAAAGGUUGCAUUUGGAUGCUUGAGCAGAAGUUUAUGGCAUGUUAAAGUUGGCACAAAAAUUUGGUUAUGCAACUUGGAAAAUUCUAAGUCCCAGAUGGCUAAAAAUGACCCAUAAUGUCUCAAAGAAUUCCAUGGUCUUCCAAGCAUAAUUUGACUUUGAUCCUUGAAGAAAACUUGUAGAGGGCAUCACAAAUGAUAUUAUUCAAAAAGAAUCAGCGUCAAAUGUUGGAAAUUGAAGAAGUUAUAAUCCUUGAAAGUUGAGAAAAAGUCACUUGAAAAUAGGUCAAAUUUCACUAGGUCCACAAAUGACCUAUAAUGUCUUCAAACUUUUGAUGAUCCUCCAUGCAUAAUUGGAUCUUGUAAUGUAAAGAGAAGUUAUAGAGGAUAUUUAGAAGAGUCAUAUGCAAAAAGAAACAUUCAAAAAUAUUGAGGAUUGAAGGAAUUGUGAACCUUGGAACUUUGACUUCAAAUGUUGAAUUUUUGGUCAAACCUCUUGGAAUAAACUUGUGUACUUGGACUUUUAUUGCAUUUCAAGGUACAUGGAUGAUCAUAUGAACUAAAAAUAAGGUGUCCUUAAAUUUAUUUUUAUUAAAUUUCUUAAAGUUUGAGGUAACAUAUUGAAGAAGGCAUGGAAAUAAACACAUGAACCUUUGCCUUUUCUUGAGACCGAUUAUCCACUUUUGUGUAACCGAUUACAAGCGCAAUAUUUUGAUUUUUCCUGCUAUUUUACUUGGUCAAUUCAGUUCCCAAUUGUGUUGUAUCUCUUGUAUAAGUGUUUAGAAUGCACACUCAUCUAAGGUUAAUGCAAUAAUAAUCUCUCACCCUUAAUUCUCCUCUUUCACACUCUACAUCCAAAGUAUCUCCACCAUUGUUCAUCAAACUUGUUGUGUCUUGUUCCAACAUUUGACAUCAAGAGUCUGGUUCAGAUCCACAAACACCUAGUGUGCAACAUGAAUUAUGUUUCCAAUGAAAGAAUCCCUGCAAACCUACAUAUCCUUGAUGCGAAGAAUUAUGAUAAAUGGUGCAAGAAAAUGAAGAUGUUGUUUGGCUACCAAAAUGUUCUUAAAGUAAUCAAGAAUGGUGUUAGCCCUCUUGUUCAAAAUGCAACAGAGGUGCAAAAAGAAACACAUAAGAAAGAGAAGAAGAAAUACUUCAAAGUGUUAUUCUUGAUCCAUCAAUGUGUUGAUGGCGACAAUUUUAAGAAAGUUGGUGAUUGCGAAUCGUCAAAGCAAGUGUGAGAGAUCUUAGAAAAGACAUGUGGAUGGGUUGACAAGGAAAAGGUGGCGAGGUUACAAACUUACAAACACCAGUUUGAAUUGAUUCAAAUGGAGGAAAAGGAGACAAUAAACUAUUUUGCAAUGAGAAUCACCCGGUUGGUGAAUCAAGUGAAGGCAUGCAAAGAAACUGUUACAAAGCAGUAUGUUGUCGCUAAAUCUUGCAUUCUUUAACACUAAGAUUUGACAAUAUAGUUGUGGCGAUUGAGGAGUCAAAGGAUCUCACGAUGAUGAGUAAAGAGAAGCUGCAAAGUUCUCUCGAGGCUCAUGAUAAAAGGAUGGAAGAGAGGAAUAACGUUAAGGCAAAGGCGGAGAUCGCUUUGCAAGCUCGUUUCAAUGAGAAGGACAAGAGAUCGAAAGGAAAAUGGCCCAAGAAAAGAAAAGGGAAUUUUCAUAAUUUUGGUGGAAGAGAGUCCUAAAAUUCAAAUAAUUUUACUUGUCAAAGGGGUGAGAGCAUCUUCAACAAACAUGGUGGUCAAGGCAACUUUAGAGGUAGAAGGAAGAGGUUUGACAAGAGCAAGGAGUAGUGCUAUAAGUAUCAAUGGUUUGGCCAGUUUGCAAAAGAAUGCAAUUUGAACAAGAAGGAAUCUCAAGGGGAUGAAGCCAAGGUUGCAAGAUAAGAGUUUGAUAAAGAGAAUACAUUUUUGGUCAUGAUCAAAGAAGGGAAUUGUAGCAGCAAACAACUGCGGGACAACAACUACAACAACUCAACGAAUGCUGAAUAGGUUGGUUGAAUGAUACGAUUAACCAAUUGCAUGAAGAGGAAGACGCCAUGAUGAGUUUGAAAGGAGUUCAAUGCAGUGAGGAGUGGUAUUUGGACUUGGUUUGUUCAACUCAUAUAACGGGAAUAAAGGAUUGGUGUGCCAAAAUCAAUUGUGCCAUGAAGAACAAAGUAAAGUUCGCGGAUGACACCACUCUAAUAUUCAAUGGGAUCAGUGAUGUUUUAAUCAUGAGAAGGGAUAAUGGACAUUCCUUGACCAUAAAUUCUUGUACAUUUAGGGAAUCAAAUGUAACCUUCUGAGUAUUGGCCAAUUUCUUGAGAAGGGUUAUAAGAUUCACAUGGAAGACAAGGGGUUGCGGGUUAUGGAUGUAAGAUGAGUCUUGGUCCUUAAAGCGCAUAUGGAUGCCAAUAAAACCUUUAAGGUUGAGUUGAAGGUUAUAGAGCAUAAAUAUCUUGCUACUGUAACAAGUAGACAAUAUUGGAUUUGGCACUAUCGUCUUAGGUAUCUCAACUUUAGAGAUUUCAAAGACUUUCAAAAGAACAGAAUGGUAACGGGGCUGCCAUCGAUCAACAUACUAGCUGAAAUUUAUGAAGAAUGUAUGCAAGCGAAGCAACAUAUGGGAAAAUUAAGAAAGUAGAUUCUAUUGGUGGCAAUAUGUAUUUUUUCACAUUUAUCGAUGAUCAUAGUACGAAGCUAUGGACAUACCUAAUCAAGAGAAAUGACGAUGUAUUUGAUGAUUGUUUGUCAUUGCAUAUAUUUAAUCGAAGAAUCAAAGAAAAAUAAGUGAAAUUUGAGAUAAAAUGAAGAAGAAUGAGGAAAAAAUAGCUAAGUGUGAAAAUUGUGGACUUAUUGAAAAUUUGAGUGAAAAGGGGAGCAAAACCGUGCAACCACGGGAAUAAUCACGCGCACCAUCACAUAGCAUCGUGCACGCGAUGGGGUCUUUAAAGCAGCAUUACACGCGCGAUACAAGGAAUCACGCGCGUGAUAAGUACUUUUUAUGGGCUUUUUAGACACGUUCUAGUCCAUUCUAACGCCUUUAAAAGAGGAUUUUCUGCACUUUCACAAGGGUUACAAAAUUGGGAGAUCUAGGCACGAUUUUGAGAGCACAAGUGGUGAUUUUUAUAGCAUUGGAAGCUAUUGGAGGCCAUUACUUCAACGUAUUUCACAUGUUAUUUUCAUCUAUCAAUUAUGGCAUUUUUAAUUGCAUUAUGAGUAGCUAAGCUCUUUUAUAUUAGGUUGUGUUAUGAUGAACCUAUUUCUAUAUUGUUGGAAUCUAUGUUGAUUUAACCAUUCUAAGAACCGUUUGAACUAUAAUUCCAUUCAAUUGCUUUUUGUUCAUAAUUCCUUUUAUGUGAGAUACUCUUUUAAUCUGAUUUUGGGCACAUAGGGAAUAUUGACUAUUAGUCUAUGUGUUGGACCUAGGGAAAUUGUUGUACUUACGCUGGUUGAAUAGGAAUAGGAGACCCUGAGUAGUGGCAUAGAGAAUUAAUGUUUUAUACAUCACCUAACCUUGCUUACGCUGGCAGACUAGGGAUAGAAAGCUCUGAGUAGUGGUUAGUGAGUUAUUUCGCGAGGGAUCAGCUAUAACGGUUUUGUUAAUUCGAUGUGGUGUUAUAGUGAUAAGACCAUUCGUAAAAGAUAUAAAACAUCAACAAUAGAGGAAUAGGGGAUUCUAGAACACAAUAUGCUCGUUUUCGUGAUAUUGUUUAAUUGUUUAUUUACUUUUCGCACUGAAACUCGAAAACCCCCCUUUUUACUAGUUUUCUAUAAAUUGCACACAUUUUGUCUUGCCUGAAGGAAAUUCAUGUGGAUUCGAUCUUUUUAUUACUUCGACAAUAUCAAUACACUUAUCGAGAAAUCAUUAAGUUUUUGGCGUCGUUGCCAGGGACUGUUGAUUUUUCAACAAGGCGAUGUUUGUGCAAUUUUUAUUUUUAUUUUUUUAGUCUUUUAGUUUUUUUUUUCUUUUUCUUGUUUAUCAUAGUGCUAUUGAGGUAUUUUUUGUUUGUGUAUGCACAAUUUAGGAUCAACAUUAAUACCAUUGGUUCUAGAAAUUGAAAGAACUACACGUGCUCUCAGAAAAGCAGUUAGAGAAGCAGCUCUGAAAGGAGGAAUACUAGAAGAAGAGCAACUAUCAAAUUCUUCUGACUCUGAAGAAGAAGCUGUAAUGGAAGCUGCACAACCCCUAACUAUGGGGCAUUAUUAUAAAUUAACCGAUGAAGGACACUUAUCAAGAGGGUUUGUGCUGGUAGACCCUGCUAACUUUGAUAUUAAAAAUUAUGUGCUUUAAGGUUUGAGAGAAAAUUCGUUUGAUGGGAACACGAUUAGAGACCCAUGGGUGCAUCUUACACACUUUUAUGAAAUAACUUAAAUGUGCAAACCAACUGAUGCCACUGAAGAGCAGGUUAAAUUGAGGUUGUUUGGGUUCUCACUAAUUGGAAGGGAGAAAGAUUGGUUACUUUGCCUUCCGAAUAAAACGAUACAUACUUGGAAGGAAUUAAAGGAUAAAUUCCUCGAAAUAUUUUUCAUUACUACUCAGUUUACCGAGCGCUAAGCAGAAAUUGUGAAUUUUGUGCAGCAGGAAACUGAGUCACUUUAUGACUCUUGAGAAAGAUUCAAAUUUUUGUUACGCAGAUGCCUGAAUCACAACAUGAAUAAUAUGGUGCAGAUGUAAAACUUCAUUAAAGGUCUCAAGAGUCAAACUCACAUGUUAUUGGAUGCUUCUACGAGAGGUACUAUCUGAAAAAUGAAUGAACCACGGGUAAAAGAUCUCAUUAAGAAGAUGUGUAUGAAGGAGUACCGAUCCAAGAAUGAAAGGUCGGUCAAGAUGGGAAUUGUGGGCACGCCUAAAGGUAUGUUACCUAUUGAUACCCACACUGCUCUUUUAGCUCAGAUUGAAUUAUUAAAUAAAAAUCUAGUUGGAAGCAGCUUAGUUAAAGCUAAUGUAGGCUAGGUACAAGCACUUGGGUGCGAUUUAUGUAGAAGAGAACAUGCGAAUGAAAGGUGUUCAUUGGAAGAGACAAGUGAGGAGGUCCAAUUUGCUAAUUUUUUAAAAAAUAACUUGUAUUCAAACACAUACAAUCUGGGUUGAAAAGACCAUCCAAAAUUCCGUUGGAAUAAUAAUCAAAAUUCAAAUGCUAACUAAGGGAUGCAACAAAGUCAACAAGCUCUGUUUCAAAGGAAUCCCAUCACAGUUGGUAGAGACCUCACAAAAUUUCAUUAAGGUCACUCAAAGUAGAUUUGAUAGGGUAAAGAAGACCCAUGAAUAAAUGAGUAGAAACUAGGAUGCGUCUAUCAAAAUUUUGGAGAUGAAGAUUGGUUAAUUAUCUAGAAAAGUAGCUACUUUGUCAAGCUCAAGUGGAGGAUUCACCAGUAACACCGUUGAUAACCAUAAGAAUGAUAACCCUAAAUAUAGGUUUAAGGGCAAUUACUGAAAAGGAUAAGGAUGAGAUAGUUAAACAAUGUGUGGUUAAGGCAUAUGAGGGUACCUGUAGCACCUCAAAUUUGCACCCCCCAUUCAUGCAUUCAUUUCAUUUUUUAGGUCAUUUAUCAUUCCAUAUUGCAUUGCAUUUUGGCAGUCAGCAUUGGCAUCAAGAGAUUCAUCAGUACAAAAGAGAAAGUUUUUUCUUGAGAUGAAGGCCAAAUGAUUAUACUAAAGAGCUUAUAUGAGCCCAGGUUCAUUUUGAAGCAAAGUUACCAAGUGGUAGAGGCCCAAACUCAUCAGUGCACUUCCAGGUCAUCUGAGGCCCAUACAAGUCAACUAUGCAGUCAACUAAGGGCUUUGAGUUGGGGAAAUGGUUUGAGACACUUCAUUCAUGUCCAAAAGAGGCUUUUUCAUCAUGUCAAACAUCUACCUUGAAGAUUUUGAAGUCAAAUCAAAAGUUUCCAAAAAUGGAAAGUGACCUGUAAUUCAAAGUUUCCAAAAAUGGCAAGUUUUUAGACCACAUUCAACUUGACUUUCCAACAUCAAAUAAGCUUCAAAUGAAUUUUUGGUCAACAUGAAAGUUGAAGAUAUUUCUCUCCUAUUUCCAAAAAGUCCAAGAGUAUGAGUAUCUGAUGAAUGGUUGAGAAGUUAUGAACAAAUGAUUGCAAAGUAUGCAUGGAACUUCAAAGUGCCAUAACUUUUGAUCCAAAACUCCAAAUUGAGCCACUCUUUUUGCAAAAUGCUUGUAUUGACCAAUAUUUUCCAAAUCAAACAUUGCAUUGCAUGAAAUUAACUCACAUGAUCAUUUGUCCAUGCAUGUAUAUUUUGGAGGGAAAAUGGAUAAUUCAAAUUCUAUUGAUCAUACAUGAAAAAUUCCUAUGCCAUUGUGAUCUUUGGAUGAUUUUAAGUGACUUUUAACCAUGCAUGUGCACUGUUCACGUGUAAAAUCUCCAUGCACCACACAUUUACCAUUUUUGCAUUACACCUCAUUUCUCAUUAAGUUUCCAUUAGCCAAGCCUAAUUGUGAUUAGCAUGAUAAUUAACAUGUGAUAUAAAUAGAUAAUCCUAACUGAAUUGGAUGAGAUUACACAUUCUAGAUCUAGAAAUUGGAUUUCCCUCCAAAAAUUCUCUCAAUUCAAACAUCAAAUUUCUACACAUAACUCAUGAAUUUUCUUGCAUAAUUGUGUUCAUCUUGCAUCAUUGAGUAAGAAUCAAGGCCUGGACUGAAGGAUUUGGUGCAGAGUCGAGCUCCACGAAUGCAUGAAAAUGAAGAAGGUUUUCUGAAUUUGAGCUUCAUUUAGGUAGUUUCAAUUGCUAUUCCUUCCAUAAAGCUUCACCUCAAGGUUGAUAGAGGAGACCUGGAGCUGGAGGAGGCUUGAAUCCACGAAAUCAUCGCACUGUUCUUCAAGAAGGUUAAAAUUUGAAUCUCAUUAUUUGCCAUUUUAUGCACAUGAUCUUGUAGGUCGUGCUCCACUGAUGAUUCUGAUAUGAAUAUUAUUGAUUUUGGCUGGAUAUUGAGUGAGUUAUGAUGAAUUAAAGUUUGUAUGCUAAAUUUGUUCUUGCUCGAUCCAUGAGAUAUGUGAUGAUUUAGAGUGAAUUAGGCAUGGAUUUGGAAUGUACGUUAUGCAAGCUUUCGAUCCAUAUCAUUUUUGCAUGAUUCUAGAAUUUUUUUGAUGCACCUUCAUCGGCGUACCACCGGAGAAGAUGACCGAAAGUACUAUUCCGGUCAUCUGGUUCAUGAGCUAGGGUUUUAAUGUGCGCACCUGUAACCAUGCAAGCCCCAGUUCGAUCCUUGGCAACUGUUAUUUUAAAAUCCAUUUAUUUUCUCCCUAUGAUCCAAACGUUGCGUUUUGCUCUAGCGCCCUUGUGAACAAGCCUUGCCUCUGUUCGAUUCUUGGCCUGGCAAUUAUCCCAAUUGAUUUUAUUGAGCGCGCCUAUGACCCUAUAGUCCUCAGUUCGAUUCAGGCGCUUUGCAUUUUUUCUUUUAUUUUCAAUUGAAGCGCUGCCUUGGACCUUUGUGUCCUGAGUUCAAUCCCUGACCAAGUAUUUUUCAUCUUUUAAUUCACAUUUCAUUUUUUCACAUGAUUGUUGUGAUGUCUAUUAUUUUUUGAUGUGAUUUUCCUAAUUUUUGUAUUUCUGGAAUUUUAAAUGUGUUUGUGUGAUUGAACAUGAUGCAAAUAUGACAUGUUAUGCUAAAUGUUUUAUGAAAUGCUCAUAUUUUAUCCAAUUGCCUUGAAAUUUGACAUGCUUGAUCUAUACAUGUGACAUGAUUUUUGAGCUUUUGUUUGGCAUUUUUAGCACAUUCCAUCACUGUUUGGGACACAUGAACAUAUGAUGUAGCAUUUGGUGUCACAUUCUUGACCUUGCUUGUGUUCAUUUUCAUUUGCAUGUCAUUUGAUAUCUUCUGGACCUAAUUCUUUGCAUGAUGCUUGUGUUUAAAAUUUUGAUCUCACAUAAAAAAUUUCAUGAUCAUUGGAUGCAUUUCUGUUUUAAUGUGGAUUUUCUACCUUUUUCUUGCCUUGUGUAGAUGAUGAAUAAGCACCACUGUUGAUUGACUGUUUGGUUUGUCUGAAUGUGAUAUUGACUGUUUGACUUUUGUACAGGUACAUUAGUCGCUUUUAGCUCUCGCUUGAGCUUUGCUUUGGUUGUGGUUGAUAUACCACCUAGGUAAUCACUCUAACUCCAUGUAGUCUGGAAGCCCUGUCGUUUCUUUUGGCAUGCAUUUGGUUGAAGUCCUCCUUAAGAGGCAAUGACUGUGUUUAUUUAUAUUUAUGCCAAAGACCUCCUUGUCGAGGCAUGUUACUUGUUAAGUCCUCCUAAGUGAAGAGGCAAUUGACAGAUGGAAAGGAUUAGCAAUCAAUCCCCUGUUAUUCGUUGAAUCGUUCAUUAUGCUCGCACUAUAUGCUGAUGCUCUUGAACCUAACCCAAGAUCCUUGUAUAUAGAGUCAGUCAAGUGGAAUAGGGUCCCUCUUUCUGGAUCCCCAGGUUUUCAUUGAUUUGAGCUCACCCAGGCCAGGGUUAAGAGCAUGAGGUCUUAUCCUCAUUACCUUUCAUCAGCUUCACCCUAACUCUCAAUGUUAGUGGUUAAGAGCUUCAGCACACCCCUACAGUUUUGGCUUGUUUGUCGAGGUUGAUAUGACCCCUUGACUAAAGCCUUACCCUCAGAUGUUUGAGCCCCUUGUUGGCGUGUUUACUUCAUGUAUAUGUUUUUGUGUGGUGUGAUUGUAUCCCCAUAGGAUUGCUAGACUUCGUAUAGUCUCUCGUUUGCAUGUCAAUUAAGGUAGCAUGGUUCCUUCGUCUAGGACUUCCUUUCUUGCGUGAGCAUUCCUAAAACACAAACAAACUUUAUCUUCUCUUAAGGACACGUUGACUCCUUCUACUACAGGUGAGUAAGUCUCCAAAGGUCGAGCAUCCAUCUAGGACUUCCUUUCUUGCGUGAGCAUUCCUAAAACACAAACAAACUUUAUCUUCUCUUAAGGACACGUUGACUCCUUCUACUACAGGUGAGUAAGUCUCCAAAGGUCGAGCAUCCGGUAGAUUGCAUAGUAACGUUGUUCACCUAAAAAACACAACAAACAGAAAUAGUUUAGCCGAACUACGACAACUCUGAUUCUCAUGUUCAGAUGAGAUACGUAGGCAUGAGAUGCGAUGUCUUGUCGAGUUUGACUGACGACUAACAUUAAUCCUUGCUAGUUUUCAUCCUCGUUGCGAUUCUUUUCUCUCGCCCUCGUUGCGAUUGAGACCUUCCUUUUCUCUUGCCCUAGUUGCAAUCGAGACCCUUCUUCUUUUCGUGUGUGUUUGUUAGGAGUCGGAUAUAAGUCCAUCUAUUGGCAUUCUGUUUCCUGUUUGCGUGUGUGUUUGUUAGGAGUUGGAUGUAAGUCCAUUUAUUGGCAUUCUGUUUCCUUGUGUGUUUGUUCGGAGUCGGAUGUAAGUCCAUCUAUUGGCACUCUGUUUCCUGUUUGUAUUUCCUUGUUAGGAGUUGGAUGUAAGUCCAUUUAUUGGCAUUCCGUUUCCUUUGAGUGUUCUUUUGACGUCUCAGCGUCUCUUUUCAGUGUUUUGUUUCGGCGUGCGUUAGCCGAGCUACGAGUGCUCUGAUUCUUCCUCUGGUUAGAGAAGAUACGUAUGCAUAGGAUGCGAUGUCCUAGCGAGCACGUCUCCCAUUUCCCCGAACUACGUCGACUCUGAUGUUUGUUUCUGACAAACUACGUAGGCCCAGGAUGCGACAUCCUGCCGAGUCUGCUUUCUCCGUCUCCUCUUCCGCCUGUUUAUUAUUCCAUUGCGUGCAGUCUUUGAGCAGUUUUAUUAGCAACCUUAUUCUUUCCUUCUGAGCGUGGAUCCCAUCGAGUACGACGGACGUGAGGGGUGCUAAUACCUUCCCCUUGCGUAACCGACUCCCGUACCUAGCAAUCUUUGUUCGUAAGACCAUUCCUUUCCCUUUUUCAGGUUUACUUCGAGGGUUUCCUUUCCCUCCUUUGGGAUAAAUAACGCACGGUGGCGGCUCUGUGUCUUUUCCCGCCGGUUGUUUUUCGCGAUGCGACAGUACCAAUCAAGGUGACCAAGAGGAAAGAGGAGUCACCAUUGAUCAACUUAUAGACAAAAAUUCUCCUUGGAGGAGAACAAAGAGGCAUAUCUUGACUGAACCAAAUCCUCCUUUACCAGAUUACGUAAAACCACCGUAGCCGAUAAUUAAAAAGAAAUUGGUUCAAGAUGAUGAAGCGGGAAUGUUUGCAAAGUUCAAGGAAGUUCUAGCUACUCUCCAGGAAAGUAUUUCAUUCCAUGAAAUUUUAGAACUAAUGCCUAAGUUUGUUAAAUUUAUGAAGGCGUUUCUAAAUGGGACGGAAGAGAAAUGAAUCAAGGAACAUGUAAACAUGACCGAAAAUGAUGAUAUGGUAAAACCUCAAUCCUUACAACCUAAACUAAAAGACUCAGGUAAGUUUAUUAUUUCUUGUAAUAUCAGUGGAUUCAAUAUUCUGCAUGCUCUAUGUGAUCUGGGGUUUAACAUAAAUGUCAUGCCACUGAAAACUGUCAAAGAAUUAAAAAUGGGUGAGAUCACACUGAAUAACAUGACUCUCACUCUAGUUGAAUCGUCUAUUACUCAAUCGAUUGUUACUUUACGCAACAUAUUAGUAUCUGUGGACGACUUAUUGUUUCCUAUAGAUGUUGUAGUGCAUGAUACAAAAGGAGAUUAAGGAGGAUCUGUUAUUCUUGGACGUCCAUUCUUGGCAACCGAGAAAGCAAAGAUUGAUGUGGACACUGGUCAACUUAUCUUGAAGUCAAAUAAAAGGAAUGUGGUUUUCAAGGUAUUUGACUGGGCAUCUUAUGUGGAUAAUUUGGAUACUUUAUACCAUCCGGAGGAAAAAGGUAGAAAAGUAGACAAAGGAACAAUGAGAAAGGAAGUGACAGGCGUGAGGGUAUCCCUUGCACCUGACGUACCUUAGACAUGGAUUGUCAAGCUAGUUACGUAAAAAAAGCGUCUGAUGGGAGGCAACCCAUCCGUAAGAAAUUAUUUUUAUGUCAUAGUGAAUUUUUAUUUUUCUAACCUUGUUAAUUUUUGUGUUAUGUUGUUCGAAGAGAAAAUAGGUAAAAGAAGAAAAGAAAGAAAAAGAAAAAGGGAAGAAAAUAGAAAAAGAAAAGAGAUAGGAAAGUUUCAGCCCCUGGAAUCAUCACGCAUGAUAAUAUAAACUAGUUAUUUACAAUAAAUUUUUUUGAUAUUUAUUUAAAGAAGCACAAUUAAUAUAAAGACAAUAACACACCAAUCACACAUAAUAAUUUUAGAAUAAUUAUACUCUAAGAUUUUGAGAGUCGUGAUAUCUCCUCUUCUUAAAUGUUUAAGAAUUGGAUCUCUCUCACUAAUCUCUAUCCCCUUAUUUAUUUUAAGAAUAAACAUAUUGAAUUAAUAAAACAUAAUUGCACAUUUCUUAUAGCGAUUAUACAAACAACUAUCAAAGUUGAAAAAACUAAAGAGAGGUCAACUCAAUCUUUAUCAAAUUAAAUUAAAGUUUAUUUUAAAACACAAACAACUAGUUCAUUAAAAAGAUAACUUGUUUAGUACACAAAUGAGAUCUUACUUAAUACAUAGAAAUAAGAUCUUACAAAACAUAGAUAUUAAAAACAUAGGAACAACAUGAAAAGUUUUCAAAAUGACAUAGACAUUGAUUAACAAAGACAUGAAUUAGUUUCGGGUAUUUUUUAACCAUCCAUCAAGGUAAACUUGUUUGGAGUCAGGGGUGAAUUUUUCUUUCUCGGCUCGGAUAUCUUUCAACCAUCCAUCAAGGUAAACCUGAUUGUUGUCUGAGGUGGAUUUUGUUGUCUCGGCUCGGAUAUCUUUCAACCAUCCAUCAAGGUAAACUUGGUUGGAGUCAGAGGGCAAUUUUAUUUUUUCAGCUCGAGUGUCUUUCAACCAACCAUCAAGAUAAACUUGUUUGGAAUCAGAGGUGGAUUUUGUUUUCUCUGCUCGGGUAUCUUUCAACCAUCCAUCAAGGUAUACUUGGUUGGAGUCAGGGGUGGAUUUUGUUCUCUCAUUUCGAGUAUCUUUCAACCAUCCAUCAAGGUAAACUUGGUUGGAGUCAGACAUGGUUUCUGUUUGCUUAGCUCGAGUAUUUUUUAACCAUCCAUCAAGGUAAACUUGGUUGGAGUCAGGGGUAGAUUUUUCUUUCUCAGCUCGGGUAUCUUUUAACCAUCCAUCAAGGUAAACUUGUUUGGAGUCAGAGGUGGGUUUUGUUUUCUCUGCUCGGGUAUCUUUCAACCAUCCAUCAAGGUAAACUUGAUUGGAGUUAGGCAUGGACUUUUCUUUCUCGGCUCUGGUAUCUUUCAACCAUCCAUCAAGGUAAACUUGGUUGGAUUCAGAGGUGGAUUUUGCUUUCUUUGCUCUGGUAUCUUUCAACCAUCCAUCAAGGUAAACUUGGUUGGAGUUAGGUAUUGACUUUUCUUUCUCAGCUCUGAUAUCUUUCAACCAUCCAUCAAGAUAAACUUGGUUGGUGUCACCUGUAGAUUUUGCUUUCUCAUCUCGAGUAUCUUUCAACCAUCCAUCAAGAUAAACUUGGUUGGAUUCAGAGGUGUCUUUUGCUUUCUUUGCUCUGGUAUCUUUCAACCAUCCAUCAAGAUAAACUUGAUCAGAGUCUUGGGAGGAUUUGGUUUUCUCUGCUCGUGUAUCUUUCAACCAUCCAUCAAGAUAAACUUGGUUAGAAUUAGCAAUUUGUUUUUGACUCUUCAAUGGAUUUUUGAGCCAACCAUCAAGGUAAGGUUGAUCAGCUUGUAUUUCUUCUACAUUCUCUUGCUGAAGUUUGAUAUAUCGGGCAAAGCUUCCUUGUCCAUUCUACGAUACAAUUGAAUAAAUGGAUAUUAGUGAGUUAUUUUUGGAUGGUAUAUAUGACUAUAAAAACAAAAUUAUGUGUUUUAUG